rnacentral:lncRNA from 1 species
CUCUUUUUUUUUUUUUUUUUGGUUUGUAUAGAGUUUCUUGGGAACUGCUUUUUUCUUUGUUGCUUGCCUUUUGUUCUUCUCUAUAUAAACUGUAACCCACCAUGGGAGAGGGAAAAAAAUAUUUUGUCUCUGUGUGUGUGUGUGUGUUUUUUUUUUUUUAAUUUCUAGUUAUGUAUGUGUUUGGAAACAAAAGAUUUCUUUUCUAUUCCUGCAGCAACUGAUUCUAAGUUCAAUAUCUAUUUGUAAUUAUUUUUCCAGAUUUAGGAAAAAAGUUCAUACUGGCGGUCUUCUUGCAAUGAUUGCAGCUUUGUCUUUGUAUAUAUCCUUUUAUAGAUAAGAAGAAAAUGGAAAUAAAUAGAGAGAAAAUAUGACCAGCUUUACCAUGCCGAUGAGAAGAAGUGGAGAUGACUCCCUCAGAUUCAACUGUGUUUCAUGUUUUGUGUAGCAGUUGGUUACUGUGCAUACUGGUUAGUUUAAUCAGUCAACAGCUUCUUAACGAUUUAAAAAAUUCAAAAUUUGCAAUUACGUUAUUGCCCUUAACAAUCAAACGACUCUUUAACGCUAAUACACGGCCAUGGGUGCUAUGUGUCAAUAUAUGCAUACAUUCUCUCCAAGUGUAACAAGAGCAAACCUCAAGGGAGGUAUCCAAAAAUUACCCUACCCCUAAUUUACGACAUCUCACUAUACAUUCGGAUUAAAUCACAUAAAUUUUUGUCUUUUUGGAAAUAAAUAUGCAAUUUCAAGAUUUUGAGGGAUAAAUAAUUUUUUUAUUUUUUCAAAUCUAGAUCUAGCGUCUAAGCUCUGAGCCUGUCACUUCCAAUUAUACGUGGAGAAACCAAAUAGCUCAAGUCAACCUAGUUGUCUGUUCUGCUCUUGGUAACCAAUCAGUAAUGAUUCUGUCUAGCGCGUCACGUGGUUAAAGACGUAACGAAUGAAAUUACGGUCUACGGACAGCCUUUUUCUCUCCCCAUUCACACUCUCCUGCUUGCAACUUGCAGCAAUUGUCAAUAAUUGAUGUCACGCAUGUUUUCUUUCUUUCUUUAUUUUAAAUUAUCCACGGUCAACUUAUUUAUUUUAUUUAAAAAAAUAUAUACAAUUUUUUUUUCAGCACGUCACCUUAAAUUUAUUUUUUAUUGUACUCAUCCACUUCCAUUUGAUCUUCGUUAAUAAAUUUAACAAAAUAUUAAUAAAAUGAUAUUUUACCCCUUAAAAUUAUAAUUUAACUCAAAAUAAAUAAAAAUUAGAGAUAAAUUGACUGAAUUUAAAUUUUUUCAAGCAAUAAAGUUAAACGUAAAGGCAUAUGCUAGAAAUUAGAAAAAAGUAGUGUUUGUUGCUUGUUAAAUUUAAAAAAUUUGUAUUAAUUUUUUUAGAGAAAAAUAGUAUUUGUUACUUGCUAGAUUUAGAAAAUUUGUAUUUAUUUUUUCUCUUUCAAUUGAGUUAAACAACAUCAAUUUUUUUUCUUUUUCUUUUUAAUUUUCAAAUCACGUUAAAUGACAUCGUUUUACUCUUUCUUUUAAAAAAAUAAUAUAGCAUAAUUUUAGGUAUUAGAAUGAAAUAUUCAUUUUAUUCCUCUGACGUCAGUAACUUUCUAACAACAGUUAGACGGAAGUGGGCAAAUGCAAUAAAAAAUAAAUUUUAAGUGGCACGCAAAAAAAAAAUGUUUGUUUAUUUUUAAAAAAAAUAAAAUAAAUAUGUGGACAGUGAAUAAUUUCUCUUAUUUUUUUAACGUAGAUCACAACAAAAUUUUAUUUUCUUUGAUAACAUAAGGUGCGUGGUAAAUUUUCUUUGAUAACAUAAGGCGGCGCAGACUCAGUAAUGCUCACCCACUCUCCUUUACUUAAGAGCAAGAACAUCAGCAGCUUCGACAACCCAUUUAGAACAAGUACUCUCCAAUCGAUACACAAUUCUCACAAUCUUACAGUCAUUAGUAUUGGCCUAUCGGGGACAUACCCAAAUCCGAAAAUGGAAACAAUAACUUCCCGUUGAGAAAAUUGAAUAGAUAAUAAUUGAUCAACUAAUAUAUAUUCUAAGGUAAUUUAAAAACAAAAAGAAUAUAUGUAUAUAUAUGUUCACAAAAAAUUAAUGUAUAUUCUUUUUUGUUUAUAUUUUAUUUUUUGGGGUUAUAUUGGUGAUUUAAUUUUUUAUUAAUGUAAAAAGAAGAAACAUUAUUGCAAGAGGAGAACGUUGAAAAAGUAAGUAAAAAGAACAAAAAAUAACGACAAGGGUGUUAAUAUUUUAACGGUAUGAAUUUUUUGGGUAUUUUAAAAAAUAUAAAGACUAAAUAGACACUAACAUCAAAAUAUAAGAACUAAACGAAUUUUUACCCGUAAUUAAUUUAUUAAAUGAAUCACUAGAUUAAUUUUUAGUUUGAUGAAGAUCAUAAUAUAGAAACUAAAAAAAUUAAAUAGACAAAAAGAUAAAAUCAAUAAAAGUAAGCGGGCCAAUGUCGAGGAUCAUAAUGAAUAAAUCAUCAAAAUUAAAUGGGUUAUAGUGGGGCAUAAAUUUGUAAAAUUUCAGUUAAUUCCUUGGAGCAAAUAGAAAUGCAUUUUCAAGAUGCGAGGGGAUGACGAGGAGGUGAGAUUGGAAUUGGGAGAUCAUGAGCGUCACGUGUGCAUAGACAGAAGCGAGUGGGUGGCAUUCUUGAUUGCUAAACCAUAGAAAAUUCAUAUAGUAGAAAUAGGCAAUUAGGAGUAAUUUACUUCUUAAACUUGUCAUCACUAGAAACUUAUUCACAUAUACUGCAAAGCCCAAAUGGAUUUCAUUGUAAAAUAUUCUUCUAUAGAUCAUUGCUGCCAUGGUAUAGUCAUACAAACAGAGAGAGGGGGUAAAAAAAAAAAAGACAACUAAAACUUGCUUAUGAUGAUAUAGAAGUAUAAAACUGAUAUUAAGUUGUCCAUCACUGGCUCUCAAAAAAGGGAAAAAAGAAGAAAAAGAAAAAAACAUGUCCAUCACUUUCAUUUUGCUUGGAUCAAUAAACAGAACAAAAGCUACACCUUCACUUCCAGUCACUUCUCUAUAAGUUUCUUUGUAAACUUUUUCAGUCCAAAGGUUAUCUGUUCAAAUAUGGCUUGAUUGCCACAACAGAUUUCAGAGUAGCCCUCUUCUUCUCUUAUAAUCACCAACUGUCAAGGUCAAAGCAUGCCUCCUCCCAUCAUUCUCCGGGACUUGGCAUCCAACGGUUGCUUCUAUCCUCUGCUUCCUUGCCAUGAACCCUGCCAGCACCCCCUGAGGUCCACCAAACUUCUUAAGUGCAUUCAAGGAAAUAUCAAGCUCAAAAUCAUGCAACAUAUUUGAUUCUGUUCCUAGAUCAAGAGGAGCAUUUGUGUCAACCAACUUCCCUGCACCAGCUGCAGCUUCCAAGGCCGCCUCUGUGGCUGCCAUGCCAACCUCUCCUGUAGCACCCUCCUCCCCAUUUGCACCUCCUGGUACACCAUUCUUAUCACCAUUUGCCUCAGCAGUCACCUCUUCACCAGGCUUAGAGAUAUAGUAAUUCCUUGACCUAGUCCACCUCCUUGAAAAUGGAUCAUAUCCAGCCUCCCCUGCUUUCAAGCUUGUAUUUACUCGUUUCAGUUCUGAGGCAUUUUUGAAGUUCUCAACUCUGUUCUUUCUGUUCAUCUCAGCAAGUCUAAUAGCUUUGGCAUCUUUUACCUUUGAAUCCCGGGAUGCCUCGAGUUCCUGCAGUCUUUUCUUGAUCCUCUCCAUAUCUACUUCAUCAUGCCUACUUUGUGCAACUUCCAACUCCCUCCUCAGCCGGUCCUUCUCAGCAGCGACAUUUAACGGCCUUGAUGAGGCAGAUUUUUUUUCUUGCAACAUCUGCUUUACAGUGGCUGCCGAAUAGACAAAAGUGUUGAUUUUUUGUAUCGAAUCCUUUUUCUCCAACACAUCCUGUUUGCUUGGCAUCCGGCCACUAUUUCGCUCCACCUCUCUAAGCCAUUGCUUAAACUCCUCCUCAAGUGGUGGGGAGUCUGAAACCAUAGCCAUCUGCCACCUGGCAGCUGAGCUUUCAUUGCCCCAAGUGACAUUCAGAUACUUACAUGUUGUCCUGUUCUCUAGUUUGUAUGACCGGUCUGGCUCUGUGGCAUCAACAUUUCGGACCAUGCAAAGCCUGUAGAUAGGGCCAUUCUUUGACCUCCCAAUUCCAACCCUCACAAAGCAACCCACAAUCAACUCUUCAAAGAAUGGCUCCAUGAACCAUUUAGCAAGUUUUGACCUCCUGAUGGUAAUUUCCUUUAUGUCAUCAUAUGUUGGUCUGCCUGAGCCAGGUGCCCCGUCAUCGUCACUGUCAGCCAUCCCACCAUCCCCAGUUGACCCUUCAUCGUCACUAUGAGACCUACUUUCACUCUCACUCUGACUGGAGCUACUCAGACCUGCAGGAGUAAAUGCUUUUCGCUUGACUGGUGAAAGAACCCUGCUGCCAGAACCACCUCUAGAUGCAUCCCUCAAUCUACGGUGAGCCUCCGGGUCCUGCUGUUUCAACCGUUUUGCUCUUAGCUCAUUCAAUGCAUCAUCCUUGGCAGCUGCCCUGUCAGCAGAUCUAGCUGCAAGACGUGCACUACGAGAUGAUGGAAGAGGUGGAGUCUCUUUUGUAGAUCGGGUGGACCUCUCCUCCCGCCUUGAUCUAAACUUGUCCCUUAAGUUCUUAUCAACUUUCUUAUCAUCUCGUUCGAAUAUCAUCAUCUCUCUUUCAAGUUCAGUCAUCUGUCCAUGGUUGUCAUCAUCAGACUCAUUGCUGCUAUCACCUUCAUGUUCUGAAGCACCACCAUCAUAAUCACCUUCUUCCUGGCUACCCUGGUCAUCAUCUCUUUCAGUAGGAUCCAGCCUCUUCUUCAAAGGAACUUGAGAUCCAGAGGGUUUCCUGCUACCAUACCCACGAUUAUCAUCAGAAUCAUCAUCCCUUGAGUCACUUCCAGAGUAGGAACCCUCACGUCGCCUUUUAGAGGAAGAUGCAGAGUGCCGGUUUCUUCCAGCGGAAUUGGUUCUUCCGGCUGCCUCCAGGAGCAGAUUUUCUAAGUCUGCCAUAGUCCACUUGUGCGGCCUUUGUGCUGUGAUAAUAUGUACUCUAUCCUGAGUAAAAAUAACAAUUAAUCAACAGCUUCAAUGGCCAAUCCCAAAUCAAAGAUGAAUAUGCACUUGAGAUCAUCAAAUGAAACAAAAAAACCACAAAGGAGGGGAAAAAAAUUAAGCUUUCACGAACAUUAUAUAUUUUAAAAUUCAAUCUAUUUGUAUUUUAGAAAAUGAAAAUCUAGGUGCAUAGACGCCAUGCCACUCCCUAUACUUCUCAACCUACAUAUUCAUUGUAGAAUCCCAAUAUAAAGUACAUAAAAGAGAUAUGAUGCAAGAUCAGCAAGCUAAUAAAUCAGCUAGGAUCCCCAGAGAAAAGCGGCUACAGAGAUGAGAAAGAGGCGAGGAGAAGGGAAGACGCAAAAGCCAAACGAAGUAUAUUCCCAUCAAAAACCAAAGUUGGAGGUAUAUAUCCCAAUAUGGAAAUCAUCAAAGCCAUCAUUAAUGCCCAAGUGGCGGUUCCCAAGUCCAAUAACAACUUCCUAGAAUGUCCGAUUAUCGGACACACAUUUGUUGAAGCUGCCUCCUUAAGGCAGUCAUCUACUACUGACAAAACACCACAUUAAUUCAACCAAGAGAUUAAACACAAAACGACAUGAUGAAUCCACGCGUUUACAUCUCAUACAAUUCCUAAGUUCUAAAAAGAUAAUAUCCAACCAAUUAAAGCCGAAAACAAACUUUAUAAUCGCAUAAAACUGUACACAUUAAAAGAGAUGCCAAAUGCGUACUAGAAUUAGGCCUAAUGUGGGAAAUAAAUAAAAAUUCACCAUUUAUUCCUCUAUGAUUCCAGUAUCCAGACCUCUGGGGUUAAAAAUAUGAAUUAAAGAUUAAAUCUUCAGCUGGAUAAAUCAAUGAUCAACUUAUCAGUUUCUUAUAUUAUCAUUCACUAUCAUGAAUAACAUAACAAUUUCAUUGAGAUUAAAACCUAAUUAAAACCUUAAUAAAAAUUAGAUUUUUUUUUACCAAAAAUUAAAAAUCUAAUUAACAGCGAACUAAGCUUGAACAAAAUUUCUAGUAAUUUAGGUUAUGAUAACUGAUAAAAAUGUAUGAACAUUUGCAAGACUUGAAACAAUCAUUAAAAAAAAUAAUUAAAAAUUGUUGGGUAACUAAGAUGAAAGAAGAUAAAUUCACCUUGAAACCCUAGAUCAAUUGAAUAGACAAUCCAUCGAUCUCAAAUCGUGAAGCUUAACAAGGAUGGAGCCUCAGAGAGCAAGGUGCUAAAUGGUGGUUCAGUGGCUGGGGGACGCCGUGAGCAAAGAGAGAGCGAGAGCAGCAACGGGAUUUUUCUAUUUUUUUAAUUGAGAAUGCAUGCAACCGGAAUUAUUUGAAAUUUGGAUUUAGCUUUAGUUAAAAUUUUCCUUUCAUAUAUAUAUAUAUCUUGUUUUGAAAAUCAAUAUAAAAAAAUUCUUAAGAUAGUGACACGGGUGGUGUUCGGGGCCCAAGAACAACCCCAGAUCUGGGCUUUGAUUCUGACCCUAGACCCGGUCUAAACAAAUUUCAAAUUUUGGGCCCAUGCUCAACUAGAUUGGGCCAGAAAUCGAUGGGGAUUUGCCUACCCUCGAGAUUUAGGCCAGCCUGAGCGUACAUGUCCAUCUCUGUUCAAAUCCCUACUCAAACCUAUUUUUUAACCGAGUUCACAUUAACUACUAGUAUUUCGGUAACACGAAGCAAUACAUAUAAGUUAGAUUUUGUGUACUAUUUUACUCUUAAGAUAGAAAAUUAGGAAAAUGUUGUGUCAAUAGUAACAAGAUAGUAAGAAGAUAGAAACAACAGUAUUAUAGUAUGAACAGUGGUAGUAUGGACAGUACCCAUAGGGUGCGUUUGACACACUGUAUUGUAUUAUGCUGUAUUGUAUUAUUUUAAUGCUGGUGUAUUGUAUUAUGUUGUAUUGCAUUAGCACUGUAUUAUAAUAAUAUUAUACAAUGUUUGGUACUACACUGUACUGUAUUAAUUUUUUUGUGAUUAAAUUAAAUUAUAUAUUUAGAAAAUAAAAUUUAUUAGUACCUAGAAAAAUAUAAAAUAUAGAAGUCUUAAAUUUUAGAAAUUUAACAUUAUUUUUAGUAUAAAUAUUAAAAAAAUAUAGAAGUCUUAAAUUUUAGAAAUUUAACAUUAUUUUUAGUAUAAAUAUUAAAAAAAUAUUUUUUUCAUAAAGAUUGAAGCUUAUAGCCUUAUAAUCGACAACAUAACAUUUAUUUUAAAUUAAUAUUAUUUAAAUAUUUUAUAAAUGUUUUUAUUAGUUAUAUUAAAUUUUUCUAUAUUAAUUAUUAUAUAAUUAAAUAAUACAUUAUUUAGUAAUAUUUUUAAAAUAAUAAAAAUUAAAAUAUGAAUAAUAAAUUAUUAAUUUAUAUUAAUAAUUAUGAUAUAAAAAUAAAAGAAAAUAAAAAUUUAUAUUAUAUUAUAUUAAAAAGUUAUAUUAUUUAUUAUUAUUAAAAAAAAAAAAAAAAAGUAAAAAAAAAAAAAGAAGAAGCAACAAAUGCAAAAGCACAAAAGCUCAUGCGGCACCUAGUCGGGUUUAGCUAAUGCAGCAGUUUGCCACAUUAACAUACCCCUUAAUUCCUUUUAAAAUUUUACCAAACAUGAUAUUGGUAUUAAACUAAUGUGAACAGUAUUUUAAUACACUAUAAUUUCAUGCACCAAACACAGUCAUAUUUCAGUCUUCUUACUGUUUAAAUAGCAGUGCUCAAUUAUAAAUGAAAGUUGUGAUGUUAUUAAUUAUCAUCAUCAUCAUCAUCAUCAAUUCACCGUAAUCUAUUCAAAUUUAUUGUAAAACACAAGUAUUAUCUUUGUUUUUGUCCAUAUAGGAACACAAUAGCUAGAGGUGAUAAUCCCGCUGAAGAUUUGAUCUGAAAUAAAUUGGUCGAAUUUUUAUCACCUUGUCAAUUAGGGUGACUACGAGUUUGAGUAAGGGCGGAAGGUUACAUACUUACAUUUACCAGUGCAAAUUUUUAUUAUAUGUCAACUUGCUAGAAAACCCUCAAAAGAUCGAGCUCAGAACAAAGGAAUUUUACUUUUCUCAAUUUAAAUAGCGCUAGCACGAUGCAGCGGCUACGUGUAUUUUGAUUGAGUUAUUAAUUGUUGGAAAAAUAGCGCUCAAGUGGCUAUUUUGAGCGGAAUCCAUUAGGUGUCAGUAAAAGAGGUCAAGGUGAUUCCGAUACUCUUCCGUGAGUAUUUCAAAAUGAUAUAUUUGUAUGUUCAAAAUGAUGAUCCAGUGAAUGAGAAAUUAUUACUUAAAAUAUACUCAUAAAAUUGAAAAAAAAAAAAAAGUAUUUGUCCCACUCGGGAAAGAGUAGUAAGGUUUGAAAGAUUAUAUAUAUAUUCAGAGCAUAAGCACAGAGGCUAUCUCCUUUUUAGCUUGACUCAUGUGGGUGUUAUUUCCCAUUAUUUCUUGGGAAAUAAUCGUUGUUCAAAGUCUUUGUUCCUAAUCAGACAUUGUUUGUUAUUUACAAUUAUAUUGUACUAAUGAAGUUGCAUGUUUGUUUCUAACGUUAAUAUCUUAUUGAUAUAAGAUUAAAAAAAGAAGAAGAUAAAAUAAGAGAAAGUAAGGUAGGCAAAAAAAAAUUCUUGGAACUGACUCAAUCAAAAUAAAAAUCCUUUAAUUCUCGCGUGAGAAUUAAAGGGAUCAUACUCAUGCAGUAUCUUAAUUAAAUUCUAUGUAAUGAUGAAUAAAUUAUGCUGUAUUUUACUCCUACAUGUGUCAAAAUUUUAAGACUAAAGCCAUAAUCUAAUUUUAGGACUUGCCCAGGAAUUUAGUCAUGGAGGGAAGGCAAAGAAAGCAGACCUUUCCAAGAAAGGUUUAUGCAACUAAGUUUUAGCUCAAACCUCAGCGACAUAAAAAGAAAGAACAGGUGAUCGAGGAUAAUAUAGCACAAUAAAGAGAAUGUAGAUUGUUUAAAAGACUGCAGAAGGCAUCAAACAAGCUAGAUACAUCUUCCAAAUUAAGUCGAACACAAAUCUAUUUCAGGAUCAUAAUUAUACAGUAUAUACAGACAAAACAAAGAAGAAAAUAAUAGAUUAUUCUACCUUUCUCAUUCAUCAACCAAAUGUUACAUCCAUUCUCAUCAUUCUGUGCUUGCACUUAGCUCAUCACCGAAUUCUCCAGCCACAAACCUGAUACAAAAAGAUUCAAUCUUUUAGAGAUAUGACAUACAAUCAGAUUAACAGAAGCACCUCUACAGAUAAUUGUCUCACUUAGUGCCAAUGCUAUUGCCAAAAUAUAUUUCGAAAAUUAGAGAAACAUAAAUGAGAUCAAGUUGUCUCGCCUGGUCUUCUUAUUCUUCCAAGAUUUCUUUGCCCUUAUCAGUUAUCUUGUAUGAGCUUGAUUCAGUUUCAAGUUCUUGUCCAGUAGUAGUUUCAUCAGAAGAAGUAGACAUUGUCGAAACCCCAUCAAUUUUCUUACAUAUAACAAGACACUCCAUGUAAGCAUCCCCAUAGUAGCACCAUGGCUCACCGCGAACUGUUAGUCUCCUGGCUGUUCGAUACCUGGGAUGAAAUGAAAGCAAUGCCCAAUUGUAUACUGUCCCGACUAGAAGUUCCCCCUUUCUCCAAUUUCCUAGUAUCUUGCCUACACCUGAAUGUAUUGUAACAUUAUACAGCUUUGUCCAAGACUCAAUUGAACCAUACUCAUUCAUCAACCAAAUGCUACAACUAAGAAAAGCCUCAUCUCUAGCAUGUGAAUGAUAAUGCAGCAAAGCAAGCGAUUGUUUGAUUGCCGCAACAGAGAUCUUUUGCACUUCCCUUUCUCCGAAUUUAACUGUAUCGCUCAUCAUACCGUUCGGCAAAUUAAAUUCCUUAAAUACCUCACCAUACAUAUCAAACACGGCCACAACCAAUUGAGAAACUGAUCUCUCAUCACUCCCUUCAUAAUAUCCAAUCCAAUGCACAGCUCCGUUCACAGAGGCAUGCACUGAAUUUCUUUUAAUCAAAUAAGGCGGUGCAGCCUCAGUGAUGUUCUCCCACUCUCCUGUACUUAGAGUUAAAACAUCAAUAAUUUCUACAACCCUUUUAGAAACUACACAAGAAGUCUCCAAAUGAUACACAAUUCUCACAACCUUAUAGUCAUUAGUUUUGGGGACAUACCCGAAUCCGAAAAUGGAAACAAGAAUUUUCCCUUGAGAAAAUUGAAUAGAAGGGCCAUAUUGCCCGUACCCAAAAGAUUGUUGGUCAAUUUUGGCCACAGGGGAAUGAAUUGGAAACGUUUUAAAAGAAUAACCAACAGAAGGGUUCCAAAUAAGUAAAGAUUGCGGCAGCCUUUCAGCUUUAGAAAUCUCAAGCAAACACACUAACCCACAACAAAAACCAAUAAUCAUGUAUCUGGAGAGUCCAUGAUCAAAUGGCAAUUCUAAUUCCUCAUGAUAAUGGUCACUAAUCGAGUAAUCGCCAUGGUGUAAUGUGAAAAUUUCUCUCUGUUCAUCCAUGUCGUAGUAGCUUACAAGGAACCUAGUGACAUUGUUUGUGUUCUUGAAAGAGAGCUUGUUGUAUUCAAACAUAAAAUUGGGGUUGGUGAUUACAGAGCACCAUGAUUUACAUACGCACCUGCAAUCUAAAACUGUUUUUGCUGGCAGCCUGAAGAAGAUUUCAGCCAGUACUUGGUCAGGUAAGUAAUCUGACAUUUUCUUCUUCUUCUCCUGGCUCUCUUGCUUCUGCUUUUGCCUUUCUUUUUUUCUUUUUCGCUUCUGCUUGUGCUUCUUGCUGUUCGCUUUAUGAAACGCAUUGCACACAAUCUUGUAACUUCAAACUUGACAAUCAUAUGCCAAGUAAGCAAGUGGCUUUAGUCUUCGUCUAUCAAUCGGUUGUCAGCUCAGCUAUUAGUAAUGGGACUCUGACGCCUCACGUGGAUAAUUCACGAAUUUACGGACAACUUAUUAACGUUAUGGAAUAAUGUAACGGGCCUCUGUUGCCGUGAGUCGUUCCGAAGUAACUACCGUUACAUUACUGUAACGGUGAGGUCCACCACUUCUCCUACUACCAGGCUACCGGCCGACCACUACUACAAACAGGACAAAGCGUGCAUCCAAAUCCAAAGCACAUAUUUGUUGCGCCUUACAGUAACGCACAAAUAGAGGCUUUUAAAAUGUCUUUAAUUUAUUCAAUUAUUCCCUUUCAUUUCAAUGCAUUAUCUUUUCUUUUUUUUUUCGAUGUGUAUUAUUGUUUUUCUCUCAAUUAGGCUUGGUAAAAUUUUGGGUUCAGUCCAGGUUUGGUGUUGUCCGGGUUAAAUUCAUUUCAAUGCAUUUCAAUGAAAAUUUCUACUAUAUAAAUUCAUCCAAUUUCUAAUCUAAAUUCAUUCAAUUUAUAUCAAAAAAAUUUAAAUUCAACAACACAAUAAUCACCAAAUAAAUCUAAAUAAUAUCCAACAUAUCAUAAGUUCAUAAUUAUGAUACCAAUUACUAAUACAACAUAUGAAAAUCCUAAAAUGAUCAACAACUCAAAAAAUAGUUCAUAAAAGAGUCUCAAAAUACUCUCAUGUAAAAUAAGUAAAUAACAAGUUCAUGUCAUUGCUGCUAGACUAUUGUGGCCCAUCAUCAUCAUUAGAAAUUACCUCCUCCCCAAUAAAAAUCUCAUUUUCCAGAACUCCACCUAACAAUAAAAAUAACACAUUAAGAUUCAAAGCAUUUUAAGCAAACAAAUACUACUAAAAUAUAAUUCAAAUAACUUUAUACCUCGAGAAGUAGAAGCCCAAAUCCAAUUCUGAGCACACAUUAAUGCUUCCAGAGUGGCAGGAAGAAGUUUAUUACGAUGCAAACUCAAAAAUCUACCCAUGGUACUAAAAGCUGACUAAGAGGCAACAAUGGAUAUAAGAAUGGCUAAGAUAUCCUUAGCUAAUUCAGCCAAAAUAGGAUAUUGGCCUGUGUGCAUUUUCCAAAAGGCUAUAAAAUAUCAAAGUCCGGAGUGACAUCCAACAAUUCCUCAUCUAAAUACCUAUCCAACUCCGACUUAGUUACCUUAGCACACUUAUUUUGGCUUCGAAAUGUUUCAAACUCAUCUACAUCCCAAUAUUUAUUUGAAUUCAAACAAGAUUCAAAAUGAGAAAUUUCCGAUCUAGCAUUCUGCUCACCACUCACAACCGUUGCUUUCGAUUCAUAUUCUUUCACUAAAUCAUGACAAAGCUAAUGUGCACGCUCAAUAUGUUCAUCUACUGUAUCAUCAUAUAUCUUUAGGAAAUAAAAAUCAAUUAACAUCAUUUUAUAUCUUGGGUCAAGUACAACAGAUACAACUAGCAUUGAAUGAAUGUCAUUCCAAUAUUUAUUAAAUUUGUUAGCCAUUUUAUCAGCCAUAAUCUUAAUAGCAAGGUUUUUAGUAGUGCGCCACCUAUUAACUAACAAUUUCAUUUUACAUAUCAACGGAAAGAACAAAUUAGCAGUUGAAUAUUUUGUACCCGAAAACAUCUCCGUUAACAUGUAAAAUGAUUUCAAAUACUCCACCAUUAUGACUACCAAAUCCCACUCCUCAUCACUUGGCAAGCUCUUAUAUUGAGGCUCAUGUUGUUGCAACCAAGAAAAAACACUUUUAUACAUCAAUGCUACUUCAAGCAUGACAUAAGUAGAGUUCUAACGAGUAAGACAAUCUAAUUUCAAUUUUUUUUUUACAAUUAAUUUGUGAUUAUCUAGUAGCUAGCUCAAAAGUUUCAAGAAAAAACACUUCUAUACGAGUAACUCACACUCUCUCUAAUCUUUCCAACCCCAUUUUCUAUAACUUUCAACCCAUCUCGCACAAACAAGUACAAUAUAUGAGCAGUACAUCUCAUAUGAAAAAAUUUACCACUGGAAAUUAAGGUAUCAAUAUCAAACCUUAACAACAAUUUCUCCACCAUCGCGUCAUUAGUAGUACAAUUAUCCAAUGUCACCGAGGAUAACUUUCUAUCCACAUGCCAAUCCAGUAGACACUAUACUAACUCAUUAGAAAGGGCAUCAACAAUAUGGAGGCUCAUAACAUAGAUAAACCUAUCAAAUAUUCAAGUGUUGGUAUAAAAUACACAAACUUAAAAUGUUAUAACAAUUUAAACUUGAAAACAAAUAUAAUAUAAGUGAUAAAAAACUUAAAAGAGAAAUUAAGACAAUAAAAAAUUAUAGACAAAUUACCUUAAGAUUCGACUAUACAAUUUCUAGGAGUUGUCAAUGAAAUGGGAUGUCAUAACCAUAUAUCCUUUUUUUCUGAUUACUAGUUGUCCAUAAAUCCGUAGUAAUGGCCACUCUAUCAUGAUUUUUCUCCAAUAAAUGCAAAAUCUUAACCUUCUUGAUCUGAUAUAACUUCAAGAUCUCGUUCUUCAAAGUGUUUCUGCUCAUUGGCUUUACUACAUGGUUAGCAUGUGCCAUCAUUUCUCAAAAGCCUAUAUAUUCCACAAAUCUAAGUGGAAGCUCAUGCAUUAUAACUAUUCUUGCUAUCAAACUCUGUAAAGCGUUUUGAUCAAAACUGUCAUAACUAAUGCCACAAGUUCCAUCCUCUCUUUUAACGACUCUGAGACUUCCUUGAACUGCUUCAUCUAUUUUCGGUUGAUGCUUCUUAAAACAAAAUUCCACGUGUCUAUUCGAAGUUGAAGUCCCUGAUUAGUAUCUUGCUUUUAAAGUUGCACUACAAUGCAUGCACUUUGAAUUUUGUUCUCCAUUAACAAUUAUUUUUGUAAAGUGCUCCCAAGCAUUAGAGACUUUCUUCCUUUUUCCGAUUUCUUGUUUUCUCUUCUUAUCAUUCACGAUUGACACUGAAAUUUCCUCAACCACAUUAUCAGUUUUAUCUUCGACAUUAUGAGAUAAAACUGGUGCACUCUAUGAAUUGAUUUCUACGUUGUCUAACAUCACACUGUUCUGUUGUUACAAUAGCAAAGAAAUUAAGGAGAUUGUCAAAAAACUUGUGCAACUUAGUUUCCAUAUUUGUCUCUAUAAUUUUACUACACAAUUAAUGAUUUUUCCACAUAAAUUACCAAUCGUAUGUGCUGCGACUAUAUUUUGUGUUAAUGAAAUAUAACACCUAUUACAUAUGUUUAUUAUUAUCAAAAUUCAAAAAUCAGCUACUAUUACUAUAUUAUACAUGUUUAUUAUUAUAAAAAAAUCAAGUUCUAUUAAUGUAUUACAUAUGUUUAUUAUUAUAAAAAAAAGCUCGAGGAUAACAUCCAAAAAAAAAAUGUAAAGCAUAUAUAAAAUAGUAUAACACCAAAUAAUAAUAAUAAUAAUAAUAAUAAUAAUAAUAAUAAUAAUAAUAAUAAUAAUAAUAAUAAUUUCAUCAUUUUUUUAACUAAGUUGGAAAAAUUAUAUGAAAGGAAAAAUUAAGAAGUAAAAAAUCAAUACCUGGUGGCUGAGGCUGACCGGCUAUGAUGGCAGAGCGAUAACAAUUGAGAAAGUGGCAAUGGAGACGGUGGUUGUGACGGCAGCAGAGUGGGCUGCAUGAACGUUACUAUAGGUUGUGACAGUGGCAUUGGUGAUAGGGCAAAGCUGCGUGCCAAGGCUAGCGAGUGAGCAACCAAGAAGAGAUGAUGCUGAGGUGGGUGGUGGCUGCUGCUGGCUUGGAGUGUUUGAGGGUUGGAGGCGCGGCAGCCGGUGGCAGCGCUACUGCUUAUACUUUUCAAAAUAGGGUUCGAUUGGGAUUUGGUGAUUUGGGUAUUUGGGCUUUGAUUUUUAGGGCUUUGGUUAUUUGAUUUUGGUGUGUGUGUGUGUAUUAUUAAGAAACUGGGUCCGGGUUCUAGGUUUUUAGUGUUGUGCCCACACAUGUGCCCGAAAAUAUCCAGGUUUGAGAAUUUCAUGCCCGAAUAUGUUUUUUUAGUAUUUGCUCAAACUGGAUUGGCCGGGUCAUGUCCGGACGGAUUCUUUUGAUACCCUUACUUUCAAUUAAUCUGCGUUGGUUGCAAUUACAAAGGAGGCCAAAUUGACACUGGGAAGUGUUUCCAAAUAAUAGUAAGAUUAUGGAAGGCUAUUGAACAUGCAAUUUGGCAUACAACAAUAAGAUUGUGAAAACAAACUAAGUAUUAUAUUAUGUUGUAUUGUAUUAGUAUUGUUUUAUAGUAAUGUUGUAUAAUGUUUGGUACUACACUAUACUAUAUUUAUUUUUAAUUAUGCUAUAUUUGGUGCUGCACUAUAAUAUAUUAAUUUUUUUGUGAUUAAUUUAGAUUAUAUAUUUAUAAAAUAAUAUUUAUUAAUACUUAGAAAAAUACUAAUAUAGAAGUCUUCAAUUUUCGAAAUUUAACCUUUUUGAUAAAAAUGUUAGAAAAUAUCAUAUUUUUCAUAAAGAUCGAAGCUUAUGGUCUUAAAUUUUCAAAAGCAUAAUAUUUGUUUUUUAAUAUUUUCUAGAUAUAUAACUUGUGAAAUAAAAAUCAAAGUAAAUAAUUUAAUCAAAUGAUCUCUAAAUAUUACCACAAUAUAAUUACAAAAUAAUAAAGUGAAAUAAUUGUUAUGAAAAAUUCACUAACAAAAUGAAUUGUGCUAAAUAAUUCAGUAGUUAUUUAUAUUAUUAAUUUUAAAUUAAUAUUAUCUAAAUUUAUUCAUAUUUAAAUAUUUUAUUAUUAGUUAUGUUAAAUUAUUUAAAAAUAAUUAAUUUAAUUAUUGUAAUAUAAUUGAAUAGUUUAAUAUUUUAUUAUAUUAUCGAAGUAUUUAUUAUUAGUUAUAUUAAAUUGUUGAAGGAUAAUCAAUUUUUAUAUAUUAAUUACUAUAUAUAAUUAAAUAAUCUAAUAUUAUGUAAUAUUUUUAUUUUUAUAUAUUAUUUAAGUAUUUGUUAUUAGUUAUAUUCACUUAUUAAAUAUUAAUCAAUUUUAUAUAUUAAUUAUCAUAAUAUAAUAACAUAAAACAUGAUUUAGUUAUAUUUUUAAUAUAAUAAAAUUUAAUAUAAUAUAAUAUUAUUGUAUAAUAAUUAUAUAUUUAUUAAUUUAUAUUAGUAAUUAUGAUGCAAAAAUAAAAAUAAUAUUAUAUUAUAUUAAAAAUUAUAUUUAUUUAUUUAUUAUUAUUACAAAGAAAAAAAAAAAAACAAGCUACUACCGCAUUAGCUAAACCUGACUAACUAUUGGGUUUAGCUAAUGCGCCAAGUUGCUACAUUAGGUUGCAUUAUUGCAGCAAUUUGGUGCACCGAAUAUUAACAAUGCAACCCCAUGUAAUGAAAGGUGCCAAACACCCCCUUUCAGAAUUUCAUUGUGUUAUCUUUUAUUUUGCUAAGUCUAAUCCUAAAUCUAUUUUGAGCUACUUUGUGCAUGGCUCUGCUACACCAUACUCAUUCAUCAUCCGAAUGCACUAGCCUUUAAUUUUAAAGACAUUUUCUUAAGAUCUUUUUGUUAUCUGCAUAGAGAUAGAUUGUAGUAUAAAAUGAUCCAAAGCUUCACAAUCAUAUUUGAAUUUAAUUAAAUCAUAUUUUUGUACUAAGAGUUUCAUCUUACCCUAACUAUUAUUAUUUAGCUAAGCAUAAUUAAAAUAAAAAUAAUUAUGAAAAUUAAAUUAUUCAUAAUUGAAAGAAAUAAAAAUAACUAAAAUUUGAAAGUAAAACAAAAUUUAUUUAUUGAAAAUAUAUUAAAAAUAUUGAAACAUAAUUGAGAUAGAGAGAUGAAGAGAAGAACUUUGAGAUAAAAAAGUGAAGAAAGGUGUAGAGAGAUGUCUACAAGGGUAUUCCCCUCCAUUUAAACUAAUUCAUGAUCAAUCCACACCACACACAUAACUAAAGUCAAUUAUUUCAUAACCAUACAUUUGUUUCACUAACCAAAAAUAAACCUAAUUUAAUCCACUCAAGCACACUCAAUUUAUUCCACUAACAAUUACUACACCUAACAUUAAAAAAAAUAAUUAUUUUUCUAACAAUUUAUCACACCUAUCAUGGUAAAAACUUAUAAUUUCAUAACAAAGGGCGCAGCUCCUCCUCGACAAUGACUUAACUUUUUUGAACCUCCAGAAUCCAAGCUUAACAUCCGUUUAUCUAUUUGGAGUCUUGAAUUUUGUAAAAUUAAUAUUUUAUCUAAUAAACACGCAAAAAUACAUAAAAUUAAAUAUUUUUAUAAUAUUUUACAUAAUUACAUAUGUAAAUUAUAAUAUAAGCAAAAACUAAUAUUUUCACCCCUUAGUAAAUAUAUGAUUUUUAACACUAAUCACAACGAAUUACCUUUGGGUAUUUACUCAAAUAAAAAAUUAGAUCAGUGAAACUUUGUAGAUCACAAUAAAAUUCUCAAAACUUUGGGUGAAAACCAAUCAAUCUCUCCGGACAAUGCUUUUUUAAAAGAAAAUUCAUUCAAAUUUCAUAAAAGCCGCACCAAAACAUGUUUAAUUCAUAUACAAAUACUGGCUGAGGUAACUCAAGCCAAAUCCACCAUACAAGCUGAGUAAUUGUCCCUUACAGAACUUGUUGUAAUCCUCCAUGAGUUUGAUUAUGAUACUCCAUGCACUAAAAAUAACAAAACAGAUAAGUCUAAUGUUACGUACAUCUCCAUAAUUUUGUGCUUCCUCUUUACCAAUGCUAGCCGAAAGCCUGAUAAUUGAUAUAACACUGAGGCAAUUGUUCAAUAUUACAAUACAGGUAAUAAUAAAGCAACAUUAGGCCAUUGUCACAACUCACACGCAUAUAAUUAAUGAUAAAUCUACCCUGCCAAGCGAGCCACAAAUCAGAGUAAAUUGUUCUAUAUUACAAUAUAUAUGUUCAUUGCUGCGUCAAAAUAAAGAAGAUAUAGGAGAAAUAGGGAUAAAUUGAGCAAUUAAUAGAGAAGGAUAGAUAAGUGAGAUCAAAAGUCAUGCCUUUCUUAUGAUCAGUUGUCUGAACUCCUCUUGUCUCGCCACAAUGAGCCACAUCAGAACAAGUUGCAAUGGAAUGCCUUGGCAUCCCAAAAACCCGACGUACUCUUUUCAUCAAAACUAGACUCUUCAUGUAUGUAUCCAUGCAAAAGUCCAGGCAUCACUGUUAAUUCCAAGUCUGUGGAUAUUCCAAUUCACAGUAUCAACUGCAACCAGCUCCCCAUUAUGUCUUGUCACUAGGAGAACUUCUUCGUUUUUCCUAAGCCCCAUCAUCUUCCCUAAGCCUAAUCUUAGAUCAAUUUUGAAUUGCUUCGUCCAGGACUCUGCUACACCAUACUCAUUCGUCAUCUAAGUAACACAGCCAUCAUAGAUCGGGCUAUUUUGCCACUCCGUCGAAUAAUGCACUAAAGCAAGUGUUUGAUCAUGCACCCCAAUACACAAUUGUCGCCACCAGCCACGUUAUGGUCGAUACUCACAGGAUCAAAACCCAUAUCCGCAAAAAGGGCUCUGUGUGGCUACGCAGAAAGAAUUCAAAAGGAAUUCUAUUCCAACGCGAGAUUCUAAAGAAGGGUUCCAUAUAACUAGACUAUUUGUGCCACCUAUAGUACGUCCAAGCAAACACAAUUAACCGCAACGCAGACCAAUUAUCACAAAAUAGCCCUUUAAAUGGACUAAACAACUGACCAUUAUAGUGUAAUGUGAAUAUUCCUUUGUGAUUUGGUGUAUCAUAGUGCCUUAAAAUUAGCUUAGAACGGUCAGCGUUCUUGAUGCUAAACAGGGUGUAUUUAAGGAUAGGGGAGUAACAUAAUCUGCAGACGAGCUUGAAGUCUAUAAGCGAUUUUGAGGACAGUGUUAGGAGGAUCUGAACAACAACUUCCUCACAUAUGUAGUCUGACAUGACACGUAUUUGCAUCCACAAGAUCUUUUGCCGAUCGAUGCUGCUGUUUCUUGGCUUCGACAGAAUCUGCGAUUCAGUUCAACUUGUAAAACAAGUGAUUUUUCACAUGUGUCGUGCUUUUCUUGAAGCAUUUUGGAAAUCAAGUUGUAGUAAGGCGACGUUGCGUUGCGCGCCCGCGUGAAUUUCUGGCAUUUGGCAAAGUCCCUUGAGAUAUUUCAAGGCAUUUUUCAGCUGGAAUCUCGGUUGUAGGGUAGGUUGAUUAUAGCUUUUCAUUCAAAAGUAAAUUUAUGUUCAAGGAAAAAUUAGUUAUUUAGUCGUGGUUUAUAACUUCAUGUGAUCAUAUUCUCUCUUAAAUCUUAAUAAAAAAUUUCCUAAUUUUUCCACAAUUUUAUUACUGUGGCAGUCAUUUUGACAACCCAAACUUUUAAUCAAUCUCUAUCUAGUUGUAAACGUUCACCUAGAACAAAAAUUAUUUGAUCCUACAAGAACAAAUACUACUCGAAUUCAACAACUGAGCGAAUCAAGAACACUAUACUCGCCAUCUCAGAAAAAUAGCAAUAUGUACCUAGCAAUGGCAGCAGCAAAGAGAAACGUGAUCCGGUAAGAUAAUUACCACCAUUAUCGUCUUGAACUCACUAGAACUCUUGAAGAAACCUUUUUUUCACUCUUUUUGUUUCCUUUUUUCAACAAAAUUUCUUAAACUCUUUGACAAAAUUUUUCCAUAAAAUUUUAUCAAAUUCUUGAUUUCUGAUUUUAUUUGGGAAUUGUUCUCCGUUCCCUUCUUUAUGCAGCGAGUUUUAAUUUAGGAUUCAUGAAAUUCAAGAAAAACAAAAAAAUUAUUGAUUAUUUACAACAAGUUUGAUGAAAGAAUAAUUUUGCUGAUUGAUGAAAUAUUCUUUUGAGUGUGACUUGAGCAGCCAAAUUCUUUGGACUUACAUGUUUGAUUAAUAAGAAAUUAUUUUUAAAAGGUCAAUAAUUUUGAUUUGAUUUUUAAGGAAAUAAAAAAAAAGUCAACAAAUUUUGACUGCUGAAGUUUUAUGGACGGACCGGGUUAUUUGCACUCUAAAAAAUACUUUGAACACUCUUUAUUUUAAAAUAUAUUUUAUUAUAAAAUAAACUUUAAUGAAAUUAUUAAAAAAGACAUAAUUACUUUAACUUAAAAAUAAAAAUACUUUACACACCCAUUUAUUAUAAAUCCUAAAUUUUUAUUUACUUGAUCAAUUCAUCAUCUCAGGCUCAUGGAAGAUACAAAACCAAAAUUGUACAUUCUUCAUUGGUACACAGAUCAACACCCCAAUUUUCACCAAUGAGCUUCAAUUACAUCUCACAAAUCACAUUAAUAAAAAAAUUAUAAUAGAUUCUGUAACUUAUAGCUUGCAUUGAAUAUUCUAAUAGCAAGAAUGAUGAUUCAUAAAAGAAAAAAAAAAGGCAUUCAUGAAAGGAUUAAACAAUUUGCUGCAGCUCUUAAUUUUUGUGAAGGAACUCAGAAUUUUUCAAUAAGAACAAUUAUCAAUUAAUAAUACAUCUACAACUACAAAUUGAUUCUUCAAAUAUUUUAAUAUUCUGAAAGAGUAGUGAUCCCUUUCAGAAUAAUCUUAUCGUCAAAUAUGUUUUAAGAAAGCAAAAACAAGAGAAUAAAAAUAAAGAAAACGAAGAAGAAGAAGAAUACAGUGGGUGUUGAGAAAAAUAAUUAAGGUUAUUUUUGAGAUUUAAUAAAGUAUGUAUGGUAAAAGUUUAAUUUUUUAUUUUUACAUGUACUCUAAUUGAUUAAGAAUAUAUUUUAGAGUAGAAAUAGUCUUACCCUUUGUGUACUUUGACCCGCGUCAAUCCUUAACAUGUAGACUAUGUAGUCAACUCCUUUAGAUCUCAAAUUCAAUUACAUCGUGUAGUUUGGUAGUUAAGACCUUGACAAGUUAACGCAGUGUUUUUAUUAUUAAGAAUAAAAUUAGGCUCGGAUAUUUUAUUUCCUUUUUUAAUCAGGGACAUAAAAGCCUUGAGAUCUUUGGAGUUGACUAUAUGAUUCUCUUAAAUAUCGAACGGCAUGGAUUGGUCAAUUCCUUAAAAAAAAUAUGGAUGGAUAUUUUAUGCUAGUUUUGUUUUUAAUUAAUGAAAUAUUUGCUACGAAAUCUUCUCUUUCCCUGUAGAGCACAAUUAUACUACUUUAAAUAUCUCCUCUGUUAGUAUUAUUUUAGUUGUGAUAGUUAAUUAGUGGUGCCAUGUCUUUUGUUUUGUCAAAGAGAGCUAUUGCUCUGUUGUUGGUAAUGGCCAUUGUUUCCAGGGUUUCUUUUGCUGCUGUUUACAAAGUCGGUGAUGAUGCUGGUUGGUCUAUUCCAAAUGCGCAGAGUGUUAAUUACAAUGCUUGGGCUGAGGCUAUAGACUUCCAUGUUGGCGACAUUCUUUGUAAGCUUAAGCCAUUUUAAUUUCCUUUGUUUGUGAAUAAACAUCAAGUUCUUUAAUAAAUUAGGUUUAGAGUCGGUCCAUAUAUAUUGUUGCUUUUAAUUACUUUUAUGAACUCGAGUUGUUUUCAAACAGUUCAGUCUCAAAUUCUGGAGGUUAAAAAACUGAUUUCAGCUUUACUUAUUUUCACUAUGCAUUAACAUCUUUGAUUAUUAUACGAUGCUAUAUUUUUUCAUUACAAGUGAGACCAUUAUAAGUAUAAACCUUGGGGCUAGGCGCUGAGACUGUGUACAAUUGUUAAUAUUAAUCCAGCAUUCGAGUACAACUCCUUAUUUCACAGUGUGUUGGAAGUGAGCCGCGAAGAUUACGAGUCAUGCAACACACAAUCUCCGAUGAAAUCCUACACAACUGGCAAGGACUCGAUUACGUUAGAAUCAUCAGAUCCUCGCUACUUCAUUUGUGGAGCACCAGGGCACUGCCAAAUGGGAAUGAAACUUGAAAUUAGCACAAAUGGUGCCGGCAAUUCGCCUAACGUUCCAACAAGGCCAAUGCUGCAGUUGUCACCGUAUUCAUCUCCUGGCUGGAACCCAUGGCUCGAAUCUUCCGCUUGGCAGCUUCAGCUUGCGACAAAGCUUGUGAUAGCUGUGGCUGCUCUUGCAAUUUUUUCUAUUGGUUUCAUUUAUUAGCUAGGGAAGAUUUGUAAAUAAUUUUGCUAUUAAUGUGGUUGUAAGGAAUGAGAAUGAUCAGAGUUGUUGAGAGAGGGUAUUGUUGAUGAAUUUUAGUGAUAAUAUAUAUGGAUAUAGUACUUUUUUAAAGACCUAACCACUAAUAAUAUAUUGUCUGCUUUGAACUUCAGACACACAUUCUUUUCAUAAUCUUGUUCUUGAUACGAUCUAAGUCCAUUCAAAAGAGAAGUCAUCUCGCUAGUCUACUUUGCUAAUAAUUAAGCAAUGAUGAAUCAAAUAAUAUAUAACAGCAAAAACUAAACAUCUUUCAUUCUGAUGGAUAAAAACGACAAUAUAAAAAAAGACCCAUGUUUCAGAACUGAAAAUGAAAAAACAGAUAGGUUUGAUGUUUGCAUACAUCUCCAUUAUUUUGUGUUUGCUCUUUGCUCUUCACUGAUUCUAGCCACCCUCAAGCUUGACAAUUAAACCCCCGCGAGGUUUUGACAUAUUUUCUGGUUAAUUGAGAGUAGAAAAGAAGCCAUUGCUCAAUAUAUCACAAUAUAGAUAUUUAGCGUUAUGUCAAUAAAAUGAGAUUGUAUAAAAAGAUAAUUUGAGAUAUUAUUCUUGUUUGAUGUCAUUACCUCUACCGGUGGUCUAAACUCCACUUGUCUCGCCACGAUGUGCCUUUGAGGAAGAAGUUGCAUUGAACGGCGGCGUAGGCAUCUUCAAAACCCCAUUUAUUCUUUGCAUCAAAACUAGACUCUCCAUGUAAGUAUCCAAGAAAAAAGACCAUGUCUCACCAUAAAUUCCAAGCUUCUGCAUCUUCCGGUUCACAGUAUUAAAAGAAACCAACUCCUCGUUAUAUCUUGUAACCAGUAGCAUUUCUCCAUUUCUUCUCAGCCCCGCCAUCUUCCCUAGGCCUAACCUUAGAUCAAUUUUGAACUGCUUCGUCCAGGACUCUCCUAAUCCAUACUCCUUCAUCAUCCAAAUGCAACAGCCGUCAUAGGACGGGCUAUUGUACCACUGCGUAUAAUAAUGCAUUAAAGCAAGCUUUUGAUCAAGUGCCCCAAUAAACAAUUUUUGUUCUCUCCCAUAAGCUAAUUCGUCUGUCUUCAGUUCAUCUGGCACGUUCAAUUCCUUAAACACCUCUUCUCUCAAGUCAAACGCAAGCAAGACCAAUCUGCGUUGGAUUCCCUGAGCCACAUGAUGACUUUCUGUAUCGUAUCCAACCCAAUGAAGCGUCCCAUUCACAUAAGCUUGUGGAGUUUUUACAGUGAUUCUACAAAGACUCGUAUCCCCCGUAGUAACGUUCCUCCAACUUCCCACCUUCAGAGCAAAAACUUGAACAACUGGCCUUGGAGCGUCCCUCACACCAAUUAUAAAAUGGUCACGAACCACAAUCCUCACGACUUUGUAAUCAACACUCUUGGGAUCAAAUCCGAAUCCGUGGACAGAUUCAAAAUUAGCCGCAGUGAACUUAAACAUUAUUCUAACACAAGAUUCUAGAGAAGGGUUCCAUACAAUCACGGAUUUCGACAAACCUUUUUGGUGAUAGUCAAGAAGACACACUAAACCAUAGCAUAUACCAAUUACAUUAAAAGAGUCAGGCUUGUUUUCGAAUGGUAAAUCAAGUUCCUUGAUCGGACUAAAUGAAAUACCAUCAUGGUGUAAUGUGAAUCUUUCUUGGGAGUUAACCCUAUCAUAGUGCCUCAAAAUUACCUGAGAAUUGCUGGUGAUGUUCUUUAUGGCGAAAUGAGUAUAGUUAGAAAUGAACGUUGGGUCGUUGAUUAGAGCGCACCAUGAUUUGCAGACGCAUCUGAACUCUGAAACCGAUUUUGCUGGCAGUCUGAAGAGGAUCUGAGCAACAACUUCCUCAGGUACGUAAUCUGACAUUUUGCUUCCUGUUUGAUACUCUUCUUCUUUUUCUAUUUGGUCUUAUGAUUUACGAUAGACACUACUGCAAACUUAUAACCAAAUAGUUACUUCGAGGAGACGUUACUUUGCACUCAAUAAGAGAGCUGCUGCCAUUUGGCAGAUCACAUACAAGUAGUUUAGCUGGCACUAGUGCUGUCUUCUCAAAAAGAUGAUAAAUCUUUUGUGUACAGUCAGUUAAUUGGUAAUAAUUUGAUAAGUGAAGUUUUGUUUUUGGUAACCAUCAAUUUGUCAAGUAAUUUUUCAAUGCACAUGACAUCAUUAUUGAAUCGGUAAUGGACAGUUAACAUGAUAAAAGAUUUUCCUUGUACAUGUUUCAAAAUUAGUUUUGGUACUGUAUUUUAACUCUCCCUCUCUCACACACAUGUAACCAUAGCAUCAACUCUUUUGUAAAAAAAUCAUCUAUUUAAAAAUUUUAAAUUUUUUAUAUCCUAAAUAGAGAGAUACACAAGAAUUAAAUUAAUUUCCAUAAAACGUUGACGUGAGAGGAUUCGAUACCUAAAUCUCUAACUUCAAUUAUUUAAUGCAAGUGGUCAAUAUUUGGUGUAUAUUUUAUUAAUUGUAUUUUCAAAAAAUACAUUUUAAUUAUUUUAAAUUUGGUAGUAUUUUUCGAAAAUUGAAUUCUAUAUUUUCUUUAAUAUCUUAUUUUGAAGUCUCGUUUUGGUCGCUAGCUAAACACAUGAGGUGCUCGUGUCAAACCUUGAGUGGCUUCACCUGUUUUACACCUUCACAUGUAUGACAUCUCCUUAUAAAACUUUUUGAUAUGGUGUUUUCAUCAUCAUUAAAUCUUUCAUACAUAAAACUUUUAACAUAUAACUAUCUAUUUUUUGGUUGACAAUCAUUCCUUAAAAUAAAAAUGGCGAAAAUACCUUAAAAAAAGCGUUUUAGAAGUACAUGUUACAAGAAUUUUGAGAAAAAAAUUAGACAAAAGAUUCUUUUUGACUACUUAAUUAAAAAUAGCUUAAAAAUUGAGCUUCUUAAGUCAAUUUAAAAAAAAUAAUUCUAAACAUUUUUUUAAAAGGACAACAAUAUUACAUUUCUUUAAAAGCUCUAUUUUAUCAAUCAUAACCUAAUUUAUCAUCAUUGUCAUGAAAAUUUAUACGGAUUAUGUUUCCUUUAAAAAGUAAUCUAGCUUAAUAUGUAAAUUAUUAAUAAUACUAUUUGCCUUUUUUUUUUUUGCUUGUAAGAGAAAAAAAAAAGUCUAUUUAAUUAGGGACAUGCAAAUCCUUGUUAAUAUUGCCGUGCUUCCAUGAUUCUCCUAAAUAUCGAACGGCAUGGAUCGAUCAAUUCCUUCGAAGUAUCCAAGGCCGAUCGAAGAUGGAAUUUGAUGCUAGUUUAUUUUUUAAUAAAGAAAAUUCAAUAAUGUCCUAAAUAAAUAACAAGAAAACUAAUAAUUAUAGAAAACUAAUGAUUAUAGUAGUGCGAUAUUCUAAAACUUUAUAAUAUAGUAUUCAUUAAGUAGAUGGUGACAUAAUGUAAUGAAAAUAUACAUUCCCCCAUAAAGGGCCCACUAUAACGAUAGAAAUUGCGGCCUCCUGCUACUUGUUUUAUGGUUGGUGGUUUAAAAAAAGAAAAACGUAGACCACAAAAAUGAGAAAUCCUAAAAUAAUCAAAGGUAUUACAACCAACUAAUGCAUAUAUAAUAUGUGUAUUUUGAUUUAAUAUAAUCACCAUUUAAGUGAUGCUUUUUCAAAGUAAAUACAUGUAUGAUUGACAUGUUAGCUCUGAUAUGUUUUGGAAUUUCUCCAUAAAAACAGUAUAAGGAAGCUGUUAUUUUUAUGGCUAUGGGGUCUUUACAGACAAAUAUUAUCACUCUAAUAUAAUUAAUUUAUUUGAACUUGAUAAAUGACACAUUAUUUAAAAUGAAAUUUAAGGGAAAAUUUUGGAUGCUAAUCAUUAUUCCGGUAGAGUAAUUUAUUAAUUAGUAAAUUAGCUUUACCAUUACACACUACUAUAAAUACCAUUAUACAAGGCAAAGCACGCAAGGGCAGUGUUCAUUUCGAUCGCCAUAUAACACAGCAUGGCUAUUACCUUGUCAAAGGGCGCUAUUGCCUUGUUCUUGGUGACGGCCGUUGUUUCCAGGGUUUCUGUUGCUACUGUUUACAAAGUCGGUGUUUCGGCCGGCUGGUCCGUUCCAGCUGCUGAGCGUGAUAUCAAUUUUACCUUAAACCUUCUAUAUAAUGUUUACGGCACACAAUUCUGACAACUUUGUAGUCAUUAGUCUUGGGAUCAAACCCGAAUCCAUUAAUUGUUUCAAGAUUAACCCUUAGUGAAUUUAAACAUAACUCUAACACAUGAUUCUAGAGAAGGGUUCCAUAUAAUCGCAGACUUGGACAAACCAUCAUGGGAAUAUUCAAUCAGACACACUAGACCACAAUGUAUACCAAUUAUUUUAUAAGCACCUAGUCUAUUUUCAAACGGUAAAUCAAAUUAUUUAACUAUUUGACUAAAGGAGUUACUAUCAUCAUGGUGUGACGUGAAUCUUUCUUGCCGGUUAAGCCUAGCAUAGUGCCUUAAAAUUAUCUGAGAUUUGUUGGCACUGCUCUUGAUGGCCAUCUGGGUGUAUUGAGAAAUAAAAUAUGGGUUGUUGAUUAGAGAGUACCAUAAUUUACACACGCACUUGAACUCUGAAAGCGGUUUUGCGGGCACUCGUGGGAGGAUCUGAACCAGAACUUCUUCGGUUAUGUAAUCUGACAUUUUGCUUCUUCUUUUUCUUCUCUUUGGUCAUAUGAGUGAUAAUAGACACACUGCAACUCAAAAUAUAUAUAACCGAAUGGUUGCUUCCAUGAUACGUUUCUUUUCUCUUUAUAAGAGAGCUGCCGCCAUUUGGCAGAAACAAUACAGGUAAUUUAGCUGGCACCAAUCUUCUCAGACAGAUGACCUAGAAAUCUUUUCUCCAUCGGCGAUUAGUCGGUAAUAAUUUGAUAAGUAAAUUUUUCUUAAAGAAAAUUACUAAUUUGUCUGAUCAAUUAAGUUUUGAAAAUUAAGAUCUUUCCUAAUCUGAAUUACGUGAUUUUUUAAAAUUUUGUAUCACAUGUAUUUUAAGAUUUCAUUGUUUUUAUUUUUUAUUAGUUAAUCUCUAAUCACCAGGUAGAUUUUGAUCACGAGAAGCUCAUACUAUUCAUAAGGGAGUUCUAAAUGCACAUAACAUGAUCAUUAAAUUGACAUGAUGUAAAAUUUUCUUCUUCUGAAAUAAUAAUACAUACAUUUCAAAAGUUACUUUUAGAGAUGUUAAAUUUUAAACUAUGAUAUAUUUACUAUACAUGUAUAAAAGAUUGCUAUAAAAUUUCUGACAAAAAUGUUACAACCUAAUUUGUGGAGUAUAAAAGAAAAAUAAUGCAUUAUUUUUUUUUGUUGAAUUUUUUUUUAAUAUCAUACAUAUACACAUAUUUUUUUUGAAAUAUAUAUACACACGCGCGCACACAUAAAUUAAAUUAAUUUUCAUAUAAAACUGAAGUGAGGGUUUGAUACUUAAAUCUCCAGCUUUAAUCACUUUAUGUUAGUGGUCAAUUAUUAUUUGCUGUGUAAUUCUUAUUUUAAAAAAAAACACAUUUAAUGGUUUUAAAUUUAAUGGUAGUUUUUAAAACCUAAUCAUAUGUUCUCUUUUUAUACCUUAAGUCUUGUGUUAGUCUCCAGACCCAUAUACGGACACAUGAGUGCUCGUAUCAAUUUAAGACUAGCCUCACCUAUUUUGCACUUUCACAUAUAAGUAUAAACAUCUAUUGUCAGUUAUGUAAUCAUCAAUCAUACCUUAAAAAAAGAUAAUGAAAUCACAUUUAAAAACAAACUUUUAGAUUAUUUAUAAUGUUGAUUUUUAAAAAGAGAAAUGGUCAAUCUUUUAGAGAUAUAUUACAAGAUACAAGAGGUAAAAAUUUAGAUAAAAAUAAUAAUUUUUGACAAUUUAUUUUAAAAAAGUUGAAAGUUUUUUUAGAAGCCAAAUCGUAUGUUCUCUUUUACACCUUAUCGUGUUAGUCACCUAAUUAUAUAUACACGGACACAUGCUAUACUCAUGUCAAUUUUAGACCAAUCUCAUCCAUUUUACUAGGGGUGGGCAAUUUCGGAUUUGGAUCGGAUUCGAAUAAAUCCGAUCGGAUUUCGGAUAAUUCGGAUUGAAAAAAAAUUCAUCUGAAUUCAAUCCGACUUUAAAUCUGAUCCAAAUCCGAUCCGAAUUAUUCGGAUCGGAUGAAAAUUUCGGAUUACUCGGAUUCGGAUCGGAUCGAAUGAGUUUAGAUUUUGGAUUAUAUUUUGGAUUCGGAUUCGGAUUAUAUUUUGGAUUCGGAUUAAUUCGGAUUGAAAUCAGAUUUGGACAUUUUUAACAAUUCUCACAAAAAAUUUAUGAAAUAUAUAAUUAAUGAAAACUUACUAACCAUUAAAAAAAAAGAAAACCAAAACAAGUUGACAAAUGACAAUGUAUUAUUUCCUUGACAAUAUGGCAUUGACAUAUACCAAGAAAACAAGCCGAUACAAAGUUUCCAUUCACAAAAAUAAAAAAAAAUAUAAUCCAUUAAAAUGAAACAUUUAAAUAAUCAAAUCUAAUAAUCUAUAAUCAACGGCCCAUUUAUAUUCUCAUAUGCAUUCAUUUUGUACAAACACUCCCAUUUAAUUUAAUUAGUAAUCCUCUUACAAGCUAGGUGCAUAAACAUUACUCCAAAUCCAAGCCUCCAAAUAAGCAACACAAAAUAAACAUUGCUCCAACUCUCCAAAGUCCAAAUGAAUAACACAAAAUAAACUUUGCUCCAACUCCAAGUUUCCAAGUAAACAACACAAAAUAAACUUUGCUCCAAGUAUCCAAACAAACAAUACAAAAUAAACAAUCAAACAUUACUCAAAGUCUCCAAAUAAAUAAACAACACAAAAUCACAAAAUAAAUAUUAUCAUUAUAUCAUCCAACAAUAAAAUAAACCAAAAUAAAAAUUAUUAUCCAAAAACAUUUAGUCAUUUAGCUUUUUUUUUUUUAAUUUUCUGUUUUUUUUAGUUUACAGUGCAAAUCCGAUCGGAUGAUUCGGAUUGAUCCGAAUCCGAUCCGAUCCGAACCAAAUCCGAUCGGAUCGCACAAAUUUCAUCCAAUCGGAUUUGCCUUCAAAUCCGAAUCCGAUCCGAAUUAGUUCAGAUUGAAUCGGAUCGGAUCGGAUCGAAUUUAUCCGAAUCCGAUCUGAUGCCCACCCCUACAUUUUACUCCUUCACAUAACAUCUCUUUAUAAAACUUUUUUAAUUAAAUAAUUGUCAGUCAAUUAGUUGUCAAUCACACUUAAAAAAAAAUGGUAAAUUACAAAAAAAAAGAAACAAGAUUAUAUAUAUAUAUAAUCAUUCUCAGGUGUGGACAUCUGUAUUUUUUUUAUGCGGACACAUUUUUAAACUGUGUGAUUUUAAAGAGUUAAAAACUAACUCUCUUAAAUCCCGCGGUUUUAAAAUGUGUCCGCAAGAAAAAUAAAUGAGGACGCCCGCACUAAAGAAAGACUAUAUAUAUAUAUACACACACACACAUACACACAUAUAUAUUUUUUUACUCCCUUUAAUAACAAAAUUUUAAAAAAACAAGUCAACGCUCUCAAUAGUCAAAAACCCUCUAGUCCCUGAAAGUGAUGAAACCCACCCGAUUAAGUCAUUUACCUCCGACCCGACUAUCGAACUUCCCAUAUAAAAAAUGAACCGACAAUUUACCGCUUCAUUUAAAUCAUUUCUUUUGGAUCUUCCUUCUUCUACACUCUUUCUCCCUCGGAAGAAAUGAGUUUCAAUUCUUCAAAUUCAGAAGGCCAGAAAUCAAAGAGAAGCUUUAAUUCUAGUAAUUCAAAUAACAAUAGCAAUAACAAUGAUAACAAGAAGAAUAAAAGCAACCAGAAAACCCUAGGCGUAGCUUGGGGCUCCAAUUCUUACUCCUCCUCUCGCUCUUCUUUUCGCAAAUCUAAUUUUCCCGAUUUUGGCAGGUAAUUUUUUUUCUAGUAUUUUGAUAUAAUUCUCAUCGGUUUUGAUGCAUGGCCUGUAAUUUAAAUUUUUGAAAGAAUUGAUUUGUAUUAAAUUAUUAAAAGAAAUUGUUUAGGGGAGCCUAUUGUUUAUAUGAACCAUGAGGUACAGCUAGUUAUUGUACUAAUACAAGUGAGUUUAACUAAAUUUUGCUAAUCGUUCUGUUUGUUUCUAUGAAUUUUGAUAAAGUUUUAGUUUUGUUAAUUUUUACUACGUGUAACUGACAUGCUUGCGUAUUUUUAAGAUGAAUCAGAGACAUUUUAUUAAAAAGUUAUCAUUAUUAUAAAUGUUGUUAUUUUUUUCAUUGGUGCUGGUUGUUUUGAAUACAGUUAUAUGGUAGAAAAGAACCGGAAACUUCAAAGUCAGUUUGAUGCAGAAGCUUCGAGCUCUUCGCAUAGUGCUUCGACCUCUGGAAGGCUUAUAUUUCAGGGGGUUUCGAUUUUUGUUGAUGGUUUCACUAUUCCUUCAAGUCAGGUAUGUUUUCUUCAUAGGAUAGUUUUCUUAAGCUAUGUUUGGUUGCAAGGAGACUUAAGUAUCAAAAUUUCGAAAAGCAAAAAUUAAUGCUUAUGCUUUAUGGUUUUAAUUCAUUGUGUAAAACGUUUGGAUGUACCAUCUUCAUUUCAUUUCUUUUCCUAAGUUGUCUGGCUUUUAUCUUUUGUGUGGAUUUUGGUAGUGAAUAAUUUGUUGCCUUAGGAACUGCGAGGCUAUAUGUUGAAAUAUGGUGGUCGAUUUGAGAAUUACUUUUCCAGGCGUCAUGUCACCCAUAUCAUCUGUAGCAAUCUUCCAGACAGUAAAAUCAAGAAUUUGAGGUUCACAUUAUUAACCUUGGUUUCUUGUCCAAACUAAAAAAUUGUAAUUUUUAUUUGGAUAGAAUUAGUUAUGAUGCUGGUAAUUUUAACGUAGGUCCUUCAGUCGUGGGCUCCCAGUAGUGAAACCAACAUGGAUUCUGGAUUCUGUUGCUGCUAACAAAAUUUUGAGUUGUAAGUUUGUGAUUUUGCUGACUUUAUCUUGAUUUCCUGAAUAUUUCUCCAACUGGAGUGAUGGAUCAUGCACAAGUUUCUCUUUCAAAAGGAUUAUGUGACUAUUAUUUCUGUCUUUUCUUUUAUCUUUGUUUUUCUAAAUUAAUUUUCUUCAAUGUUGCUUUGCUACCAUUAGGGGUUCCUUACGAGCUUGAUCAACUUGCUAAUAAUCAACCGAAGUUGUCUGACUUCUUUUCUUCAAAGGGCAGCCACGUCCCUGAGGAUGCUCCUAUCACCUCGGUUUAUCAAGCAAAACUUCAAACAGAGGAUGCAUCUCUGAAUGAUGGCUGUUCAAAUAAUGAUGGUUUGUCUGAAAUGGAUGUGUCUACGGAACACGAAGGGCAGAUUAGUGUAGAAAUUGAAAAUCCUGCACUAGAUAAUGAUAAUGAAAAGAUGACUGAGCAACAAUUUUGUUGUGAUGGAAAAUCUUGUGAAGAAAACGUGGCAGAACGCAGUAGUUCUGAUAUAGAAAAUGAAAGCAGUGUGAAAAAUGGACAUCAGUCUUCUACUCUUCAACCCGCUACAAGUUCAACUGUUGCCUCUUCUAGAAAAUGCCAUUCAACCCUUGGGGAUCCCAAUUUUGUGGAAAAUUAUUUCAAGGUAGUGAAAUGGAAAGUGAUUGCAUGUUUUUGCUUUAGUUUCAUAUCGUCUUCUUCUGUGCUCCAUGGGUUAUUUGAAGCAUUUUAAAUCUACAUAAUUGAUACCUCUCUUGAUGAAUCUGUAUGACCAGUUGUGCACAAAAAGUUAUCUGCAGGAACUUAGUCUUGGUUAUAUCCUAACAAGGACUCUGGUUUCUGUAGAGUUCAAGGCUUCACUUCAUUGGUACUUGGAGAAAUCGGUAUCGUAAACGUUUCCCCAACUGCAGUGGGCUUAAGUGCAUGAGUUCUAGCCCAAGAGUUUCAUCAGAUUCUCAGAGGACUGCCAUCAUUCAUGUUGACAUGGUAAUCUCGUUAUCAUGGGGUUUAUAACAGGAUUUCUAAUAGACAUCUUUUCUUUUGCCUAUUAUUAUGGUUGUGAACUCCACCAAUUCUAGAGCAAUGUGAAACCUGUUGAACAAAAUGGAUGACCUCUGGACUUCAUAGAUGCAUGUGCUGUGUUGUCCUUAUCUGGGUUUGUAAUAUACCAUUGAUGCUGUUAUUCUGCUCCAGGACUGCUUCUUUGUGUCAGUUGUCAUCAGGAAUCGUCCUGAAUUACAGGAUAAGCCUGUAGCUGUAUGUCAUUCAGACAAUCCUAAAGGAACUGCUGAAAUUUCAUCUGCGAAUUAUCCUGCUAGAUCUUAUGGUUGGUUCUAUUCUAAGUCUUCUAUAUCUCAGUCCACUUACAUUUUUUAUGGUUUAUGUAUUUUCUGUAUACAAGUUGAUUUUAAUCCUUACUUUCAGGAGUUAGGGCUGGAAUGUUUGUUAGAGAUGCCAAGGCUCUUUGUCCCCGCCUCGUCAUUGUCCCUUACAACUUUGAAGCAUAUGAGGAGGUAAUAAAUUUGAACAUCCACUUUGAGUAUGUUUAAAGGAUGUGGCACUUCUGCAGCCUAGUGGGUUUCCUGAUCUUUUUCUUGUUUUUUUGUGAAACUAUGAAGGUUGCCGAUCAGUUUUAUGACAUCUUGCAUAAGCACUGCGAUAAAGUUCAGGUCUGGUCAUGGUUCCUUGAAUGCUAAUUCUUUCCUCCUUUGAGUUCUUAUCAAUAUAAUGUUUGUUGAAUACAGGCAGUUAGCUGUGACGAAGCAUUUUUAGAUGUCACAAACUUGGAAGGGGAGAAUCAUGAAUUUCUAGCUUCAAAAAUAAGAAAAGAGAUUUUUGAAACCACAGGUUGCACAGCAAGUAUUGGCAUAGCUGGGAAUAUGCUUGUUGCCCGCCUUGCCACUAGAACAGCUAAACCUAACGGUCAAUGCUACAUCCCUCCAGAGGGGGUAUGUCUUGUGACUGUUGUUUUUUUAUAGGAGGCAUUGUCUAAUAAUUUGUUUAUAUUAGUACUUCAGCGUAGAUGUUCUGAUAUGCUAAAUGAUAAUUUUACCAUGCCAUAACUUGUUACAUUCUCAAAAUAAUUGUUCUCUCAUUUUUUUUUCCUUUUUAGCGAAUUUUUUUAUGACUGACGAACUUAAUGUAAUUGUUUUCAAGUGCUUUAAGAAAUAAGAAAAUCCACUCUGGUUAUGCUUUGUAUAACUUAUGAAGUUGACACUAUCCCUUCUAUAUAUCCAUACAAGUUAUGUAGUGUUGCAUGAAGGUCACCUUCUUGACUAAAGUAGUUGAAUUGUUGCAGGUGGAUGAGUAUCUGAAUCAACUUCCAAUCAAAGAACUUCCAGGAAUAGGUUAUGCUUUAGAGGAGAAGUUGAAGAAGCAAAACGUUUGGACUUGUGGUCAGUUGCGUACGAUUUCCAAGGUCUAUUAUGUCUCAUCUCUAAUUGCGGAUAUUAGUUUGCAAUUUUUGAUAUUAGACCCAGUCUUGUCAUUCUACUUUAGGUUACAAAUGUAUAAUUCCGAUAGACUCUAGCAGGUUAUGAUUUGACCAAUGGCAUUCUACAGACCUUUAUUUCAUUAAUCUUUAUUUACAUUGGAUUACCACAUUGUCUCCGCAGACAAAAAAGAAAAGUAAAUGAAAGGGUAAAUAUUCUUUAUUGACUAGAACAAAAUGAAUUGACUAAAUUAGAACUAAAUGAAUGGGACUAAAUUCUACAAGAAAAUACUGAAAUAUGUUCUGAAGUGUUUCUUAAUCAGAAUUAAUUUGUUAAAAGUCAAAAAAGCAAUAGGCAAGGAGGUUUCUGUGUAUUCUAAUGCAUUUAGUUUUUUGGAAUUUCAGGACUCUCUUCAAAAGGAUUUUGGAGCAAAAACUGGUGAGAUGCUGUGGAAUUAUAGUAGAGGAGUAGAUAACCGGGAAGUUGGGGUCAUUCAGGUUUGGAAAAAUAUAUUUGUUCUUUGUGCCAGCACUUGUAUACUUUAGACUGCUAUGUGCUCUUAAAGAUGAACCUCGUGUUUAUUAUUAUUAUAUUGUUGUUAGAAAUGGGGAUUAUACAAAAAGAAUAAGCAGUCUGUUAAAAUAGGACCAGCCUGAGCUGACAAAAAGAAAUAUCCUGUAAUUUGCUGGAAAAUGCAUAGUAUGCUAUCCUUCUGCUUAUUGAGUUGCUUUUUAUAUUUAACAUACAUGUUUUCUAGUAUAUUUGCUUCUAUGUAUUUUUAUUUCUUAUUUUUCUAUUUUCUUUUCUCAUGUUAUUUGACAUCAUCUGAGGCUUGCUGACAGAUGAUGUGAUCUGCAGGAAAGCAAGUCUAUAGGUGCUGAAGUAAAUUGGGGGGUCAGGUUUAAGGAUUUGAAUGAUGUGGGUAUUCUGAUGCCUUGUAGAAGCUUACUCUCACUUUUUCUUUUUCUCUCUCUUUGGGAAGGUCAUGAAUUGAUGUAUUAUUUAUUGCAGAGUCAACAUUUUCUUUUGAGCCUUUGCAAGGAGGUUUCAUUGCGCUUGCAGGGGUGUGGAGUGAAAGGACGUACAUUUACCCUCAAGGUAUGUCAUUCUGCCAUUGUGCUUUAUCUUUAAAUCAUGCAAUGCACUCAGUUGAGUGGAGCUUCUUCUUGAUGUAUUAUGUCUCCUUAAUCCCUUGAGAAGCUACGUCUUAGUUAUUAUAGGGAUGUGAUAUGAACAAAAUUCAUUUUAUUUAUUUGUUUAUUCCUGUAUACUUCUAGAUGAAAAAGAGAAAACAAGAUGCUGGCGAGCCUACAAAAUAUAUGGGCUGUGGGGUCUGUGAUAAUUUGAGCCACUCCACAACGGUAUUAGCUAUGGACGAAAUGCAGCUUCAAUUAUUUUUUUUAAUCCCUAUAUGUAUUGGAGGUUGAAGUAUUAAGAUUAUUAAGGUUUGCUAUAGGUUCCAGUUGCUACUAAUGAUGUGGAAGUGCUUCAGAGGAUAACCAAGCAGCUUUUUGGGUCUUUCCCUUUAGGUAAGUUAGUGUAGCAAAUUAGAGUUUUUUUAAACUUCCAUUUUGGAUAAGAGUAUCCAUGUUGUUGGUGUGUGUAAUUUAAUGGUCAGCUAUUUUGUAUCUAUAAACUUUGUGAACCUUCUUUUUGUUUCAUGUUGUAUUUUCUGGAUAUAGAUAGCAUUCUGUUAAUAUUUUGAUUGAUUUUGCACAGAUGUUCAGGACAUUCGGGGUAUUGGCUUGCAAGUUUCGAAGCUUGAAAAUGCUGACACUUCUAAACAAGGUAUGUGGUGCUGAAGAUAGUUCAUACCAAUUGUAUUCUGCCUAAUUUCUUAUAUUUCAUGACACUGUUUUAGCUAUAACAAAUACGUGCUGUUUCUAAGGCUACUUAUAUAUAAUACAGAUUUUCUCCCUCACUAGUCACUACAAUGUCAUUUGUUCUAAUAAUCAAAGUUUGUUUCUGAUAAAGUUUUCCUUUUAACUCUGGUGGUAUGAAGGGGUUGAAAGAAACACUUUAAGAUCUUGGCUCACAUCUGCAUCUGCUACUACAGAAGAGCAACAUGAUAUCAAUAGAAGGACUGGAGAGAGAACUAAUAUAGGUAUUUUAAAGUUGCAUUUUGCACACUACAUGUCCUUGAUUACUUCUAAUAGCAUUUUGAUUAAAAUUUCUGAUCUAUCUGCGUCUGGUUUCUGAGGUGAACACUGAAAUUAUAAAAAUUGGAUGAUUACUGGCACAGAGGAGGACUCAGUUAUAUAUGGAAUAUAAUAGAGUUUUAGCAGAAUUUUCUGUUUUCUUCUGCUGCUUGAAACUCUAAAUGCUCGUAUAUGAGAUUAUCAAAAUUGUUUAUUUGAGAUGUACAUUUACUGAUUAGGAUGACAACGAAAGAUCUUAUUAGCAUUCAUGAUAUUACUGAGUUGAUCGGGAAAAGGAGUUAGAAACAAUCAUGUUUCUGGAAAUACAUGAAGUUUAGUUGUCUUAACAUUAGGGAUUAGGGUGAGAGUAUCACACGAUGUUAAGUUUUUAUUGGUAUCUUGUAUAAAGAUAUGUUGAUAACCUGAUAUUGGGAUGUCCUAUCUAUUGGUAUAGUAUUGUAGAACUUACUACGCCGACUCUUGACUCUGAAUUAGGUUCUAAGAUAAGUCACUAUGAAAGCUAUUAUAAUUUCUAAGAUGGCAACAUUUGGAAAUUAUUCCAACUUCAGGCAAAAGAAGGCCGGAUGUGUUAUAUAAAAAUUUUAAUUUUUCAAUUAUGUUUAUUUGAACAUUUGCUUUUAUUGUUGAUUUGGUUAAAGAUGAAAUAAAAUGACUGCUCUUCCAUUAAUGGUUUUCUUGAUAGAUUGUGUGAGACAUAGUGAUGGAAGUCUGGGUCAACUAUGCGCUGAUACAGGUGAGCGUUCUGUUCAAAUGGACAAUAAUCUGUCCAGUUGUCAAGCUUCUUCGAACCAAACUCUGCCACCUUUGUGCCAUCUUGAUAUGGGAGUUGUAGAGAAUCUUCCUCCAGAACUGUUUUCAGAACUGAAUGAAACCUAUGGUGGGAAGUUAGUUGAUUUUAUUGCUAAGAACAAAUGUAGAAGUGAAAAUACCAGCAGUUCUUUAUGUAACUCUCCUUACAAAACUGAAGGUGAUCUUUUCUUACCUGGAUUUUAAAGGAAUAAUAUGGUAAUAUUCAUUAGUUUCUACCAGUUCCUUAUGGAUGUGUUGGUUUUGUUGAUUAAGGUGCUGUAAACAAGGGAAAGCAACCUCUCUUUUCUGAGGUCACCCUGAAAGGAGGGCCUGUGGAAGUAAAGGUAACUUCUUAUCAUUAUCAUUCUGGCUUUGUUUCUCAGUCACUAGUUGAUGAAAUAUUUGCCCAUUUUGUUAGGCUGAACAGUAUACAGUUGAGGAAAUGCAGGCAGUAUCUGUUUUGAGAGCAGGAUCCUGCAGUGGGGCCAGUACCACUUUGGGUCUUAAUAAAAUUGAUUUAAUGCCUUCAUCUCUUAGUCAGGUAGAUAUCUCAGUGUUACAACAGUUACCUGAAGAAGUGAGGGUUGAUAUACUUGAGCAGCUUCCUGCACACAGAGAGCAGGAUUUCACUUGUAGUGCUGCCGUGGUUCUUCCAGAAAAUGCACAGGAAUUAUUAGGUUUCAAGACCACUGAGAAUCUUUCUGGAUUAAAUGAAUCUGUGGUUAACAAUAAUCUUUGGGCUGGAAAUCCUCCACUGUGGGUUGAUAAGUUUAAAGCCAGCAACUUCUUGAUGCUGAACAUUCUGGCAGACAUGUACUACAAGUCUGGAUCAACUGAGAAUUUUUCUCCAACAUUGCAACAUACUGUAUCCAUACCUCUACAUCCUCUGGAUGCAAGUUCUGAUGGAUGGGAUGAAGCCAUUCAUUACAUGUGUGAGCUUCUCAGGCAAUAUAUUGAACUGAGGCUAGAAGUAGAUAUCGAAGAAAUCUACAUUUGUUUUCGGCUUCUGAAAAGGUAUUUGUGCAAAGCUGGCUGACUAAUUUUGAGUUCUGUUGAACUUCUUUUCAGGGAUAGAGCCUUAUUUGAUUGAUAUUGUUUGAAGUCUUAUCAAUGUUGUUUUCCCUAUAAAAAAUAUACCUUAACUGAAUAUGUGGAAAUGAAGUUCCCAAUUGUGUUUGUCCUAAACUUCUAUUCUUUGAUAACUUUGAAGAAUAUCUUGAUUGGAGGUUUUAUUCUUUCAGGAUUAUGGUGAAGUCAGAAUUUUUUUCACAAGUUUAUGACAUCGUCUUACCUUACCUUCAGGUUAGUAUGUCUACUUUUCUUAUUUUGAAAUUUCUUGGACAGAAGAGCGUCUUAUGGUAACAAUUAACAUUUAUCUUUAGAAAUCCUGCUUUUUGUUACUGUGUGCUUCUAUUACUAGACUACCAAUAUGUACUAUAAGGUAUUUGAAACAUACUUGAUGGGAUUUCUCCACAAAGUUGUAUUACAAUGGGAUAUUAAGACAGAAGUCCACAUGUUUAUGCUAAUUACAGAGUCUACAUAUUAGAGUUUAUAAACUGUAAUCUAUGAACUGAUGGGUUAGGGAUAGUAAAUUUCAUCCUUAUGUUUUAGUUUCUUAACGAACAGUUAGGACUUCGCUACUCUGUUGUGCAUGUUUAGAAUUGCCGGUGGCAUUGGUGUUCCCUUGACAUUGUGUUCUAAUCAGUAUGUUAGGUAGUUCACUCAAAAUCACCGGUGUAAGAUUUUCUUUGUAAUGGUUUGCAUUCAACUCCAUGUUGGAACUGCUACUUGAACUCCCACUAAUUUUUAUGCUUUUAAAACAUUCUUGAUUAUCAUGAAAGGAGAUAUGAUGAGAUGACUUUCUUUUUCAAGGUUUUGCAUCUGAUAUCUGAUUCAGUUCCGCUUGUAUUUAAAUCUUGCUUUACAGGCAUCUGUAGGUCAUAUCUAUGGAGGAAACAUGCAUAUAUAAUGUAGUUCCUCUUACCAUGGAGCUUCUCACAUUUGCUCUGAGGUAUUUUGAAUGCCCGCUGCACCCCCUGCAAUUCACGACGAAGAUCUGAAGGUUUACUUCUAAAUGUUUGCUGUCCCUAAUUUGGGUUCUACCUGUGUUUCUUUAAUUCUAACCGUUUUUGUAUGAUUUAAGUCAAAAUAAAGUACAUAGACUAUAUCUUCUUAAUUCUGCCCUUUAUUCGAGUAGUUUUUUAUUUGCAAAUUACCGAGAUCUAAGCUUCUUUGAAUCUAAUUGCUUAUUUUCUAAAAUGAUUCAAAUCUCAUAUGCAGACUUACUAUUUAAUGAUGCUUUUGGGGUUAAACUUUUCCAAGCACCUUGCAUCUGAGCUUGCUGUUCUAUGUCGCGAUUCAAGUGAAUAUGCUGUUUUUAAGUUCAAUUUAAUCCACUUCAGUUCCAAAACAUUUGUUGUCGGCUUGAGGAUUCUUGCAAAAUACUUGGGUAAUAUCUCACAUUUUCUAAUUAUGGCUGAAUUCUUUAUAGAUAUCAUCUUCAACUGUUUUUGCCAUACACUGUGCAACAAAGGUCUCUGAUUAAAUGUAGCACACUUAGAAGAGCAUUCAGUUAUUCUGUUUUGGCUUCUGAGAAACAGCUGGCAUAAUACUGUCUAAUUUUCAUGAAGAGAUGGUUUAGUUGCUUGGUGACUUCUCAUUCAAGUUUCUAUAACAUUCCUAGGAUGUGUUACUGAUCUUAUGUAUAAUCAUCUGAUUAAAUACAUUUCAGAGAUGAUUUGAUACCUAGAUAUGAGUUAUUUGGGUCCUUUUCCUCUUUAUGGUUUUCAAAGAUUUAUGUUGAUUGCUGUAAGAGAUGUUGACUUUUAAUCUUGUUCUUGAUGCUUGCACAUUGGAUGUUAUUUGGAAUGCCCUUCACUGAAGCCACUCUUUUCAUUUUGAUUUGUUUAGGGCUGUUAUCACCUCCCCGCCUCAACCUGAAUCCCCCAUCUUGUACUGGAGAUUUGUGAUAUUAUAUUUGACUUGGCGCUAUGGAAUAAAUUGGAAAGUAUCUUGAAUUCAUGAAUUGGGUCUACGGCAUUGCAUACAAGAUCAACUUGUUGGUACUUCCUCUGCUCCUAGUUUAAUUAACACAUUAAUUGGGUUAUUGUUUUCUAAUGUGCUCUCACUAUGUUUUUUUUCUAGAGACUGAAGUGGCCACCCUCGAGUUUUAUUAGCAAUAUGUGAAAUGAUUGGUCUUUGGUGAAUCUCACUGUUUUGCUGCUGGUUCAGUCAUUUGUCGACCAAUGACUGCAGAAAAAGGCACUCGAUAGUUGGCCUUUAUCUUCUUAAAAGUAUCAUUGCAAAUACAAUGGUGGUUAGUGAAGAAACUGUUUGCACUUCAGUUUCUUUCUUUCAUCCCUCCCCCCCCCCCCCCCCCCCCCCCCCCCCCCCCCCCCCCCCCCCCCCCCCCCCACCCGGGGCCCCGGCGUUAAUAAUAUUAUCUUGGAAUUUUCGAAGGGGGGCCGUGCAGUAUUCUUUUGUUUGCUCGUGGUAGGUUUUCUCAUGUAAGUCCGGGGACGGUGGUGGUGGAUUGAUUCGAAUGCGUCUGCCAUUUGGAUAGGGUGGUCCGUGCCAUCUUCAAACCAACCUUUUUUUUUUUAGGUUCCAAAUCCUUGAUGGCAUUCUCAUUACUUGACAAUCUUGAUGUUUGUACAAUGCUCCUUCAUGGUUCAUCAAAGUUUCUGUUAUUGAAUUGUCCAAGGGGUGAAAUUUUGGGUCAGGAUUCAUUAAUUCUAUUCGAUUCGAGUCAAAUUAAAUAGGUUUGAGUUUGAAAAAAAAAAUGAUUUGUUUAAUAAAUCAGCAAAUUUGAUUCAAUUCGUUAAAUAAAUGAAUCGAAUUCAGGUUUAAGGUUGCCUAUUGUUUAGAAUUUAUUUAUUAAGCGGGUUUUAAAUGAACAAAAUAAUAGACAAUCUUUUUAAUAAAAUUACUUAUUUACCAUUAAAAUUCAAAAAAAAAAAAUUGUUUAAACAUUUUCAAGGUAUAAGGUUAGUUUUGUUAUUAGGAAAUGAUAAUAAGCCAAAAAAGAAAAUGAAAGUAAAAGCAUCAUCACUCAUCAGUUGAUCUUAGGGUUUAGUCAUGUUGAAAUUGUUUUGAGGUAGAACAUAUUUUCAUAACUACACAAUUAAAGUUAUAAUGAAUGUUUUAUUAUUUAUCACUUUGUGUGUAUGGUUGUAAUUCAUGAUAGUCAUAACCAUUUAAAAAACAUGCGUCUUCAUUUCCCAAACGAAAGCCAAACUAAACACUCCCAAAAAUUAGAUCAAUGCUCUCACUUAAAAUGUUCAGGCAAGCUUCACUUCUGUUGGCUGCUGCAAUGACAAGUUCUCGAAUAGCUACACGUACCAAUGAUCUAACCGUCAAUUUCAUUCUUCCUUGUGUUUAGCUUGGAUUAGGGAUGGCAAAUAAGUUUCUUCAGCUUCUUGUUUUUUUAUUUGUACUUGUGUUGAGCUUGGAAUUUGGAUCUAGUUGUAAUGAAUCGAUUUUGUUGGUUAGAUUGUAAACGAACUUAGCUGAAGUUAUUCGAUUCUUUAUUUAUAAGUUUUCAUUUAUUAUUUAAUUUAAUUUUGUAUAGUAAAUGAAUUGCAAUGAAUCCGAAUCCAUUGAAUUUUGAUUUGAUUCAUUUAGAAUUCGACAUAGAUUCGAUUCACCAAUUUGUUUUGCCACCAUUAAGUUGUCCUGGUCGUCAUUUUGACAUUCAAUUCAGCUUGUCAAAAGAGAAAUUUAUGACGUAGCUGAUAUUUGAAUUGACAAAGUCGUUACUAUCAAAUCUUUUUUACUUUAGUAUCGGUUCCACUUUCAGGACAACGAUGUGCUUGGUUAAUAUGGAAGAAAUUUAACCCAGAACACUAAAAUAAAACCGGAGAACAAGUACAGUAUAAUAUUUAUACUCAGUAAGUUAUGAUUCGGUGAUUCCUGCUUAUGAUUAUGUUUGUUGCCCAUUGCCAUCAUCAAGGUUGGUGUUUUAAUUAAAAAAAAAAGUAGUCUAUAAAACUGUGGAAGACCCCGUCUCGUUAUUGAUGCGAGUUGCUUUCGUAUUAUAGGCGUCAUGAAAAUGAAACAUAAAGAAAUAAAGAAAUAGAAUUAUUUGUUAUAUAUUUGCUUUCCUUAUAAUUUGCAGGUGUGGACCGCAGACUUGGCGGUCGCUUAUUUACAUGGAGACGCUGCCUGUUAGUCUCUGAAUUGGCUGCAGAGAUUGAAUAAGAGGAAAGCAGCAUUUGGCUUUGGCUUUGACAAGCGACCACUUACGACAUUUGAGGGUACACGGAAUCGCCACACAAACGGCUAUGCAAACAUUUUUGCAUAAAUUGAUCUGCCAGCUUAUUCCUCUUGACUCUAUUAGGUUAUUAAAAUAAUAAUAAUAAUAAUAAUAAUAAUAAUAAUAAUAAUAAUAAUAAUAAUAAUAAUAAUAAUAAUAAUAACUUUUCUUUUACUUAAAUAGGAUUCAUUUGUGAGAUAAAUAUUAGAGAUCGGAACAUUUAACUCUCAACUUAAAUUUCAAUACUAUGUGUCAUUUAUCUAUUAGAUGAUAGAUUUUAUAACUAAUAAAAUUAUUUAACUAUUAUCCAAUGAAUGCCAUAUUAAUUAGAACUCAAAUUAAAAUUUAGAUUUUUGGAUAACUAGCGUUCCUCUCUCGUUUAUUACUUGCUCUUAUCUAACACACUAACACUAACGUAUGGGAUUUAAAAAAAAAAAAAAGAAAAAGCUUCAUGGAUUCUUGACUCGUGUGUUUGAUCGCUAUCACGUGGCGGGAAUUGAUUAUUAUUAUGUUUUGAAAUUGAUUAUCUUGAUAGCUAACUUGUGAUGCUUGUAUACUUUUUAAUUACUAUUUCUAGUCCGUGGUCAACUUUUUGAAUUUUUAAUUCUUAUUUUAUUUUGCUUAAGUUGACCGUCACUCUUGUCAUGCGAGAUUUCAGUAAGUUUUGAUUAUUUUAUUGCUUGGGUCUUCACUUCAAAUCUUCGAUAUUAUUACGACGAUACUAAUCAAACACAAUUCAAGCCAUAGAAUUUGGUCGUACUCAUUGAAUCAAUUUAAUCACUGUUCACAUCAUUUAUAUCUUCCGUGCUUAAGGGUUUCUAAGGUGGUAACCGUCAAAAGGGAGUAUAAGCAAAUAUUUAAUGAAAAAUGAAUCGGCUUGCUACAAUAUUUUAGUAAGAGAGAGAUAUGUUUGACCAAUUCAGGAUCUAGCAAUGAGAACAGAAUGAAGGGACAAUUUUGGAGUAGUUUUGGUCGGGAGAAAGAAACGAACUUCUGUAUUUUGAAAUUAUCAUGUCAAUAAAGCAGCAGCGACAACAACAAAAACCAAAAGGGAAGAGUUCAAUCAAGUUAUUAGAUAAAUACGUUAAAAAAAAUAAAAUAAAAUUUUGCAUCCCACCAAACGGCAUGCCGAAAUAUAUUUUUAGCCCGACUUGUUGACAUUGAGCUACAAAUCUCUAUCUCAUUUAAAAAAAAAAAACAUACCAAUAGUCAAACUUGCCUUCACGAUUUCACUGGCAAGUGUUAUUUUUUAACUUGAUGUUUAUUUAAUUUCUUGGCUACGGUUUCAAACGCGCCAGGUUUCAAAACUAUACAACGCAUAAUUUUUCCUCAACGAGUAGGUGCCGAAGUUAAUAUCAGUCAAAGAACAUACGCUUAUUUAUUUCCCAAGUAAUAACUUUAUAUCACAUUAUAUAUAUGACCAGAAUCUGCUACAUUUCGGUCCAAAACAGCUAUAUCCCAAGCUAGCUAAUAACAACAGGAGGAAACAAGGACAGAAAAAUGAGGGUUUCUUCGCUUCUAUUGGCCUUCAAUGCCAUUUCCAUCAUCAUCCUCUUCCUCUUGCUUUCUUACUCCAUGCAUAUUGAAGGUUCGAGGCUGCUGCAUGACCAUCAACCUUCCCUUCCUUCGGUAAAGGGUGUCAGAACCAUGGCUUACUCCGGGCCAAGCCAUCGCGGUCGUGGUCACUAACGUCAUGGGAACUGAGUAAUUUUUUUUUUUUUUUUGGGUGCUUCACACAUUCUUUAGUUCUCCAAAAGUUUUGUUUCUGUAUACUUGAUUUCACUAGAUUUUUAUUUUCACUCUAAGAAUCCAGCAGAGCAGAAGUAGGAGCAAGGGCUUCUGUGACUGUAUCUCCCAACGACCAAGGAGAUAUCAUUAGAAUAACAAGAGGUGCAUAUGUAUACCUACACAUGUAACAUGAAACAUGUUACAUGCAUGCAGUAUCUUAUUUAAUCUCCUUUUUUUUUUUUUAAUUUACUGAUCUAGCUUAUUGCUAAUCAUUCCGGUGAACAUGCAAUAGGAAAAUUAUACGCAGUUCAUUUUAUCAUGUAAAUGGUUCUUCAAAUACAACAACCAAACAAUGAAAGUAUGAAAGCUUCUUCUUGAUUUUGUGAUUCCGCUUGAUGUGUUCUUUCUUUUUCUUUUAUAUUACGAUGGUUGGGGGAACCUAUGUCGUAGCCUGGCCAUCCAGUCCGAAAAAAAUUAUGGAAGAUAAAGGUUCUAAUUGAAAUUUAGCCAUUUUCUUUGAACAAUCUACGUUUUGGCCGACCUUGUUUAAGUUAUAUUAAUUGAAUAUAACUUCCUUAAGUUUGUAAUUUAUUUAUUUUGGCCGUCACUAAUUGACCAAAACCUUAGUUCCGCUCAUGGUGUACUCUCUUAUAAUUAUUUUUUGCCUGAUGGUUUAUUAGAAAAAAACAAAAAGAUGUAUAUGGAUUUUAAUCUGGAGAGUAUAAUCUAAUAAUGGUCACAAAACAUAAUUUUAUCUGAGCUCAAUAAGUAGAGUUCAGAUCAUUAAGGAAAAGAAAAAAACAAGAGAGGGAAACAAAAUCAUUCACAAAAUGUCCCUCUUUUCUUUUUGAAAUCAUGAUAAUUAAAUUCUAUUUAAAAUUUAAUUUUUUUUUUAAUAUUACUAUCACAACAUAGGAAGAAUCUAACUCUUCAUCUUAUAAAUAAGAGGAAAAAAUACUAAUUAACUCAAAUUAGGAGUUGUUACUUUACUUUCUCAUAAAUAUUUGACUGUUAAAUAAUGUUUUUAUUUUAAAAAAAUGGUGAAAUUUAUUAAUUAUUUUCCUCUAGGAAGUCAAUUUUAUUAUUUAGUAUAUAUACUGUUUAUUGCUUUAUUGAAUAAGGGUCGGGUAUGGAUAAAAGUUUGUCCAGGAUUUAAUUAUCAAGCACCUGGUUCGUUUCCUAGAGAAUAAAAAAGAACUACAGUUUCCGAAUUUAAUAGGUUUUGAGAAACGUUGAUGAUUAAACAAGAACAGUAGAAUUGGAAUCGAACAUACGAGAAACAAUCAAACACACAAAAUAAGAAAAUGAUUUCCAUUUAUUUUCUGAAAUGAAUUGGUGCAGCCCACCGCAAUGGACAAGACAAGUAAGAAAAUAAUUAAUACAUGAGGACUGACCAGCACAUCGGCAUGUACCUUCCGAUUUUAGACAUUAUUAUUAUUAUAUUGGUUCCGUUGAAUAUAGGGCGAUUAUAUUCUGAUCAAUUUUUGUAUAUAUUAUAUAUAUAAUCAACAACCAACAUACACAAUUUCAGUACAGCCUUAGAUUUUGUCAUGAAUGAAACGUAUGUAUAUUUUAUUAUAUGAUAAUCUUUAUUUCAAAUUUAACGUUUUGUUACGUCAAAAUGAUUCAGUCUGUGUCGAUUUAGAAUUAAAAAGUCUAUAACUUACUAAUAUUACCUAACAAUUACCAUGUUUCUAUUAAUUAAAUCAGAGCAGAUGUUUAUUUUUUUUUUUAUUACAUGAGACUAUUGCUCAGAUUACAACUCAUAUUACAUGAGAAUAUAACUGAUAUGUACAAAUCAGACUAUAACUGGGACCAACAUACAUCAAAUCUAAUGGAGCGCUGCCCAGAUUUUAACCCUCUCAAAUAUUCGAGGGAUGUCUACUCCUCGCACUGGAGCAAGGAAGCAGACUGCCUUUACUCAAUUUUAUUUGAGGAAGGAAACACCCCCACAUGCAUUGUGGGGGUUCGAACUGCUGCUCUCCAACUUGGAGAGCAGCAGCUCUCACCACUCGGCCAAAGGCCGA